CUAUUAGUAAGCAAUACUCUUGAUCCCUAGCUCAUUUUAUAGUUCCAAAGGCAUGGGUCUUAAGUCCAAAUUGUGUGCCCAAAUAGAAGUGAAGGCUAAGAAUGAUGUGUUUCAUGAUGCCUUUAGGCACAAACCACACCAUGUCUCCACCAUGUGUCCUGUCCAUAUACAAGGUUGUGACCGUCUUGAAGGAGACUUUGGAACUGUUGGCUCCAAAAUUUGUUGGAAGUAUACCCAUGGUAAGCCCAAUUUUGUCAAAAUUAUUAAGAAUUUUGAUUUUUUGAAAAAUUUACAGACAAAUUUAAGGUUUUUCAUACGUUAAUAUACUAAGCCUAUACUUAAUUAAGCAAGGAUGAUGACCGUGUUGGGCCGGGAUCAAACUUUAAGAGACAAACACUAUCGUCUCUUUAUUAAGAUCUAUCAUGUAUAAUUAUUAAGAAUGUUAAAAACCUUAGAAAAUCACUAUUAAUAUAGAUCAAUCUUUUAAUGAUAGCAACAAAAUUCAUACAAUUAUUUCUUUACAAUAUAUGUGCAAGUCCAUAAAAAAUUCUAACAGAUCGUCCGUUUAAUUUACUACAAGUGUAUAACUUGCCUCGUCAUUGUGUUACUAAUUUAAAAUGACAAUCGUAUUAAUUUACUACUAUUUAUGAGUUUGAUGUACGUAACGAAAUUUUGUAUAAUCCAGAUGGGAAAGAGAAGUUUUCGAAGCAGAUAAUUGAAGCUAUAGAUGAAGAGAAAAAGAUAAUCACAUUCAAGGAAUUUGAAGGAGAUAUAGUGAAUGAAUAUGAGAAUUGGAAGGUAAGUCUCCAUGUUGAUGAAGAAGGUGAAAAGGAUUUAGUCAGUUGGACUAUGGAAUAUGAAAGGCCAAAUGAGAAUGUCCCUGAGCUAACAAAUUUGCUUCAAUUUUUCAUUGAUAUGACCAAAUCUAUUGAUGAUCACCAUGUCAACAAGCCAAAUUGAUAAUAUAAAUUAGAACUAUAUGAGUUUGUGCUUUAAUUAAAUAAACACUUGACAUUAUGUUAUAAAAUAUAAUAUAUAUAUAUAUAUAUAUAUAAUAUGAGAGAAUGUCAAGUAAUUUGUGUUUUAUUUCUUUUCUAAGUAAUAAUAAAGACAUUUUAGUUUUGCGCACACAUUUUCUAUAUGUUCUCACUCUACUUAAAGAGAAAUUUUAAUUUUGAAUUGGUUACUUGUGAGUAUAUUUUGGUAGUCUGAUGAAGUUGAGAAGAAAUGACAAAAUACAAAUUGAUUUUGGUUAAUUGUUGACAUAAUUGUAUUCGUCGAUGCAAAUUGUAUUCUUUAAUAUAUUUGAUACAAUUGAUUUGCAUCAACAAAUUGAAUACAAUAGUCUUUGAUACAACUGUAUUCAUUGAUACAAAUCAAUUGUAUUCGUGAUACAAUUAUCAGAUAUACAAAUCAAGUGUAUCUCUCUCCUAGAUUCCGCUCGUCUCUCUCCUCCCUCUUCAAUCUUGCUCGAUUCUCUCUUCCUUCUAACAUGUAGUUAUGAAUCGUAAUUAGACAAACUAUAGUUAAGAGACUUGAUUAUAUUUCUAGUAUUAAUUAUUUUUUAAAGGAAAAAUAGAUAAAUAUACCCUCGAACUAUCGUAAAUGGUAUGCAGAUACCCUCCACCAUACUUUUGGGACAUUGGUGCCCCUGCCGUCAAAAAACUAGAGCAAAUAUACAAUUUAUACUAACGGACAUACAUGUGUCAUAAUCUUAUCCACCAACCCAACAUUUAUUAAAUAUUGGAUCAACGGAUAAGAUUGUGUCACGCGUCCCUAUUUAGUCUUCUGUUAGAGUGAAGAGCAUAUAUGCUCUAGUUUUUGGACGGCAAGGACACCAAUGUCCCAAAAGUUUGACGGAGGAUAUCUGCAUACCAUUUACGAUAGCUUGAGGAUAUAUUUAUCCUUUUUUAAAAUUUCCUCAUAAUAAAUAAGUCGGUCAAUAACUCGCCUAAACUCAGAUUGGGUCAAUCUUGCUUUCAUGGACUAGGUUUGUCCUCUACUUAAAACAUUGUUUUUAAGUAACUCGGACACAAGAUAUCAGAAUAUAAUUCUAGAGUACAAAAAGAAAAAUUAUAAUUUCAACCCAUUUUAAUUGAUUAUUUGGGAGAACUCUAUAAUUCCUUGAAUAUUUAGAAUAGAGUUAAUCGUUAUAAAGAUCUAUUAGUAAAUCUGUGUAAACAAUAGAUAAGUAUAAAAAUAAACAGACCAAAGUUAAUUUGAUAGUGAAGUAAUUAAUUAAGUAUUACCAUGACCCUCCUCUAGUGAAUUGUUGUAACGAUCUGUUUCUGUCGUUAUUAAAAAUUUACUUAAAAAUACCAUUUUACUCCUCCCGAUAUUGGUUCCGAGUCACUUUUGAUGAGUUUUGAAAUUUGUUUCGAGUUUUGAAUUAAAAGUUGUGAAUUAUGGGAAUUUGAAAUGUUAAAGUUGUUAAAAAGUGAUUUUAAGUGUCUUUUGGAGUUUCGGGUGUCGGAAUGGAAUUCCGUCGAUUCCAUCAAUUUCGGAAUGUGAAAUUUUGCGUAAGGGAGUUGUCAGUUUCAGAUUCGGAGUCUUUUUGAGGAUUUGAGGUCCUAAGUUGGAAAUUGUUGAGAUUUUAGCCUUUGGGUUGACUUUGGUCAAUAUUCGGGGUUUGAGUUCUCGGAUCAGAAUUUCGAAAGUUUUGUUGGAUUCAGGGGAUGAUUUUACACCUAGAGGAGGUCUUGAUUGAAUUUUUGAAGGCCCCAAGCUUGCUUUUGCCUUUUUAGGUGUUAUGUUCGUUUUUGGUGACUUUCACGGAUAUCUGGAAUAUCGAUUUUAGUCAAAUUACAUAUAUGAUUUGUGUGUACGGGGUUCUGAACAAAUCUCGAGGGUCCUUUUGAUGAUUUGAAAGUCGUUGGUAUUUCUGAUGCUGGUAGGCCUUGCUUUCGCGAAGGUUACCUCGUGAUCGCAAGGUUCGCGUUAGCGAGACCCUGGUCGCAAAAGCAAAGGGCCCUUUUUGGCGGGGUUCGCUUAAGCAAACCAUGGGUCUCGACCGUGAGGGUCACGAAAGUGAACCCUGGUUCGCGAGAGUGAGACUCCAUUUGUUUAGGGGUUCGCUUAAGUGACAUCAAAGAGGAUUUAUGCCUCCCAUUUCGGAGUUUUACCCCCCAUUUUCUCUCAUCUGGAGUUUUGAAAAAUCCUUGGAGGCGAUAUUGAAGAGAUUUUCGGUGUUAAAUCAUUUGGGUAAGCCUUUGUGACUCUAAAACUUCAAUUCCUUUUAGAUAUAUGUGGAUUUUAACAUCAAAACUUGGGAUUUUGAUGGGCAAAUGACAAGGUUAUUCAAGAACUUUAGUUCUAAAGUAAAAUGGUGAUUUUGAACUGAUUUUAAUUUUUUUUUUUCGAAAUGAUUUUCACCAAUGAGUUCCAAAUGUCUUGCGAAACAUUUUCAAGUAAAGAUUUUCGAAUUCAAACCUCAUUUUCAGUAUUGGGUUUUUGAGUUGAUUUGACCCAUUUUUCAAAAUAAAUUAUUUGGGUGUUGUUAUUUCCGGAAUCUUACUGUAGUUACUUGAUUGAAUUAGAUUGUGUGGCAUUGGACAUUGUUCGAAAAAGAAAAGGCUCAAGUCUUAAAGUGACUUUUGAUUGAAUUGAGGCAAGUGAUUUCUAAACCUUGUAAAACUAGUAGAAUCGUGUAUUUCCCUUCACUGUGGUGUUGCGGAGUAAUGGAAAUAAGGUGAUGGGUUCAAUUAUUUCACUUGAUUGAUAUUGUAACACCCCAGAAAAUUUUUGAGCUUAGACUUGAACCAUCCUUUGUUGUGAGUAGGAUUUUACCGAAGAAUUAAAAUUUCUUAAAUUGUUAAGUUCACUAGAUGUAGCACCUUGAGUUCGAAAAAGAACUAAAUUGGAAAUAGCAAAAUCUGAAAGUUUGCAAGUUAUGCUUAAGUAUGAGUUUUGGGUCAACUUCAAACAACCAUAACUUUUAGUACAGAAGGAUUUAGGAGACCCUUAAGAUAUUAAAUUAAAUCCCUUCGAGUUAUCUUUCCAACGCCACCGAGUUUGCUCAAUUCCGAGCUCUAAUUAAGAAGUUAUGACUGAUUUACUAACAUCGCGCAAACCUGGCAGUAGCUCCGCGACGCGGAGCCAAUACGGACCUCACUGCCUGGUGGAAAAUAAUUCCGACUCCCAGCUAGUUUUAAUUAUUUCUUUAGGGGUAUUUUAGUCCUAAAAACCCUUAGAAGGUCAUCUAAAUUGCCCUAAAACGAGUAGAAAAUCAGUUUUCUUAAAUCUAAAACUCUCUCAUUCACUCCAAAGAUUCUACGCUCAAGAAAUUCAAGAAACGCUAAGGCUAGGGUUCAUCUUUCAAAGGUUUUCCUUCAAGUUGCUUCAAGAGGAUAAUUCUUUCAGGUAUGUAAGCUUCCAUAGUGUUGGGUUUGUUCACCCACACGCCAAUCAUGUUAAUUUCAGCUUUAAAUUCGUUCUAAAAGAUGAAGCUUUGAUAUUCUUGUUAUGUAUUCAUGAAUUUGUUUCCAUUCUUGAAUUGGGUUGAGAUUGAGGAGUUCUUGAGGUUAAUGUGUCGAUUUAUAGAGUGGUUAGAGUUAGAUUCUAGUGUACAUGUGUUGGGGUAAUCUAAAAUCUAAAGAGAGAUUGCGAAAAAUAUUCGAAUUUAGGCGAAUUGGGGCUGUAAAACGGAGAAGGAAAAGUCGAGCGUGAUCUGGCACGCAAGUCCGCGUUGCGAACUUGCUCCCCCAGUGACCAAAAAGUUUCUCCGUGUCGCGGGUAAGACGCGGACUCCUCUGUCUCAAAAUUUAAUUUCACUAGUAUUAUUUGAAACCAUCUCCGCGUCGCGGACUUGUUCCAAGACGGUGAUUUCGUGACUUUUCUCAUGUUUAGCUAUCAACAAUCAUUCCUAAACAUCAUGAGACCUUUACUAUCACAAGUCUCAACCUUGAAUCCAUAAUUCAAAUUCAAGGUAGAGUUAAGAGUUANNNNNNNNNNNNNNNNNNNNNNNNNNNNNNNNNNNNNNNNNNNNNNNNNNNNNNNNNNNNNNNNNNNNNNNNNNNNNNNNNNNNNNNNNNNNNNNNNNNNNNNNNNNNNNNNNNNNNNNNNNNNNNNNNNNNNNNNNNNNNNNNNNNNNNNNNNNNNNNNNNNNNNNNNNNNNNNNNNNNNNNNNNNNNNNNNNNNNNNNNNNNNNNNNNNNNNNNNNNNNNNNNNNNNNNNNNNNNNNNNNNNNNNNNNNNNNNNNNNNNNNNNNNNNNNNNNNNNNNNNNNNNNNNNNNNNNNNNNNNNNNNNNNNNNNNNNNNNNNNNNNNNNNNNNNNNNNNNNNNNNNNNNNNNNNNNNNNNNNNNNNNNNNNNNNNNNNNNNNNNNNNNNNNNNNNNNNNNNNNNNNNNNNNNNNNNNNNNNNNNNNNNNNNNNNNNNNNNNNNNNNNNNNNNNNNNNNNNNNNNNNNNNNNNNNNNNNNNNNNNNNNNNNNNNNNNNNNNNNNNNNNNNNAUUCCUAAUCAUGGGACUAUUACAUGUUACCCAUGAAGUCCUUGAGUUGGGUUAUACAUGUCCAUAGUUCUGCAUGAACCCUAUAAGUCGAACAGUCUUGAGAAGAGUAGUAACAUUGAAGUUCUUGAGUUCCAAGUAUUGAGUUCUAUAUAUGGUUAUUUAAAACCUUNNNNNNNNNNNNNNNNNNNNNNNNNNNNNNNNNNNNNNNNNNNNNNNNNNNNNNNNNNNNNNNNNNNNNNNNNNNNNNNNNNNNNNNNNNNNNNNNNNNNNNNNNNNNNNNNNNNNNNNNNNNNNNNNNNNNNNNNNNNNNNNNNNNNNNNNNNNNNNNNNNNNNNNNNNNNNNNNNNNNNNNNNNNNNNNNNNNNNNNNNNNNNNNNNNNNNNNNNNNNNNNNNNNNNNNNNNNNNNNNNNNNNNNNNNNNNNNNNNNNNNNNNNNNNNNNNNNNNNNNNNNNNNNNNNNNNNNNNNNNNNNNNNNNNNNNNNNNNNNNNNNNNNNNNNNNNNNNNNNNNNNNNNNNNNNNNNNNNNNNNNNNNNNNNNNNNNNNNNNNNNNNNNNNNNNNNNNNNNNNNNNNNNNNNNNNNNNNNNNNNNNNNNNNNNNNNNNNNNNNNNNNNNNNNNNNNNNNNNNNNNNNNNNNNNNNNNNNNNNNNNNNNNNNNNNNNNNNNNNNNNNNNNNNNNNNNNNNNNNNNNNNNNNNNNNNNNNNNNNNNNNNNNNNNNNNNNNNNNNNNNNNNNNNNNNNNNNNNNNNNNNNNNNNNNNNNNNNNNNNNAUUGCAUCUCUUAUUGUUGCUUUAUAUUGAGUUAAGUAUCCAGAGUUGAGUAUCUUGAGUUGAGUUUCUCUGAGUUGAGUAUCUUAUCCUUGAAUACUUCUGAGUUGAGUAAGUUUGAGUAGUUUUGAGUAUUCCUUGAGUUGAGAAAGUUUUGAGAAGAGGUAAGUAUGUUUCCUUUUUAUCAAGUUUCAAGCUUAUGUUUAUGUUUUAGAAUUCCCCUUACAUGCUUGUACAUUCCACGUACUGAGCCAUUUGGCCUGCAUCUUCUCAUGAUGCAGACACAGGUAUUCAGGAUCAUCAACAGGAGCUUCGUUGAUACAUCCGAGAGUUCGAGUUAGCUAUGGUGAACCUACUUGUUUAUGGAGGAUUUCAUUUACUUUUCAGUUUAGUCAGGAUGUCGUGGGUCUUGUCCCAACUUCCAUCUUUAUCAGUUAGAGGCUUCAUAGAUAGUCAGUAUAGUUGAGAAGUCUGUAUUAUUCAUUUAUUUUAUUAAAUGUUUUAAAGACUUAAGUUGCCUAUUUUGUGGCGAGUUGAAUAUAUUAUUUUAUUCAGAGUUUUUCAUUUGAGUUAAACCUUUGUAUUUCAGUUUCAUGAAUUUUAUUCAGUUUUUAAGCUUUGUAUGCUUGAGUUAGUCUUCCGCUUGUAGUCAGCCAGGAUGAGGGUUCGCUUGGGGACCAGCAAUGGUCUUCGAGUGCCGACCACGUCCAGGGUGUAGGGUCGGGUCGUGACAGAUAUUAAUGACUAAAAUAAGGGGAUUAAUGAAAAAGGCAACGUGUUGAUAGUUGUGAUUUGUGAAUUGCCUUGUUGUGGUCCCUAAUUUGUUGAUUGAUGAAAUGUUUUGAUGGCAUUAUUGUGGACUUGAAUUGAUUGAGUUAAUGUCUCUUUCUUAUGGUGUGGAAUUGCUUAUUUGCAUUGAUUUCUUUGUACCGUGAUGAGACAUGUGAUGAUUAUGUUGAGGGAAAUGGUUCAUGUAAGUGUUUUGAUAUAAAGCCGAAGAUAAAUGGUUCCGACUAGUAAUAUUGUGCUGAAGGGAAAUGAUUUUGGCAAGUGAUAUGAUAUAAAGCCGAAGGAAAAUGGUUUCGGCUAGUGAUAUUGUGCCGAAGGGAAAUUACUCCGAUAAGUGAUACUAUAAAAAGUCAAUAGGAAAUGAUUCCGGCUAGUGAUAUUGUGGCGAUGAAAAAUGGUUCUGGCAAGUGUUUGAUUAUUGUGAUUUGAUGAGCUUGAUACUUGUGAUUGGUCUACUUGAUACUUGUGAUUGAUGUACUUGACAUUUGUGAUUGACAUACUUGAUACUUAGUAGUUGUUAAUUGUGACUGUUGGACUAUGAUUGUUAAGCCUUGUGAGCUGUGUAUUGUAAGCUAUUAGGUUGAGCUGAUUUCUAUGCAGGUUGUAGUUUGAGGAGGUUUGGUUGGGAUGAAAGGAGUACUUGUAUUAUAUUCUAGCCUAAUUUUGCUUUCUUUAGUAGGUUGUUUGUUGAGUACCGUGUUGUUUGGUACUCACUCCUUGCUUCUACACUUGUGUAGGUUUCGUGUGAUUGCUUUUCUUCUAUUUUCAAGGCUUUCGAAGGACUUUGAGAGGUAGUUGCUUGUCAUCCCGGGCAGCCCUCUUAUUCCUUAUUUUAUGCAUUGUUCUAUAUUCCAGAGACAAAGGUAUUGAGCGUUGUACUUAUCUUUCAAUUAUGUAUUUAUAUUAGUGGCAUGUGCAUGUGACAACCAGAUUUUGAAAUUAAAUUAGAAUGACUAAAUUUUCCACUCUUCUGUUAUUCUUCUUUUAUUUUCCACAUCUCUUUCGUGUUGUUGGGUUGAGAUUGACUUGUCUUGAUGGAAAUAAACGAGUGCCAUCACUUGCAUUUUUGGGUCGUAACAUGCAAAUGGACCAUCUAAUAUGUAUUUCCUCAAAGCUGUCCACUUGAAUUUUUCAGAAAAAAAUAAAUAAGAAUAGUCCUAAAAUAUCUUCUUGAUUACAUAUGAGCCUUUAAUUUCAAUUGAUGGGGUAUAUAUUUAUGACAUUACUAUAUAAGAAGAGUGAAUAAAAUUCACUCUUCUUUCGACACGUGGCACCAUGGCCCACCUACUUUUAUUUUAUUUAAAUCAUAUAUCAUAUAUAUUACUAUAUAUAAUAAUAUAUUAUUACUAUAUAAGAAGAGCGAAUAAAAUUCACUCUUCUUUCGACACGUGGCACCAUGGCCCACCUACUUUUAUUUUAUUUAAAUCAUAUAUCAUAUAUAUUACUAUAUAUAAUAAUAUAUUAUUACUAUAUAAGAAGAGCGAAUAAAAUUCACUCUUCUUUCGACACGUGGCACCAUGGCCCACCUACUUUUAUUUUAUUUAAAUCAUAUAUCAUAUAUAUUACUAUAUAUAAUAAUAUAUUAUUACUAUAUAAGAAGAGCGAAUAAAAUUCACUCUUCUUUCGACACGUGGCACCAUGGCCCACCUACUUUUAUUUUAUUUAAAUCAUAUAUCAUAUAUAUUACUAUAUAUAAUAAUAUAUUAUUACUAUAUAAGAAGAGCGAAUAAAAUUCACUCUUCUUUCGACACGUGGCACCAUGGCCCACCUACUUUUAUUUUAUUUAAAUCAUAUAUCAUAUAUAUUACUAUAUAUAAUAAUAUAUUAUUACUAUAUAAGAAGAGCGAAUAAAAUUCACUCUUCUUUCGACACGUGGCACCAUGGCCCACCUACUUUUAUUUUAUUUAAAUCAUAUAUCAUAUAUAUUACUAUAUAUAAUAAUAUAUUAUUACUAUAUAAGAAGAGCGAAUAAAAUUCACUCUUCUUUCGACACGUGGCACCAUGGCCCACCUACUUUUAUUUUAUUUAAAUCAUAUAUCAUAUAUAUUACUAUAUAUAAUAAUAUAUUAUUACUAUAUAAGAAGAGCGAAUAAAAUUCACUCUUCUUUCGACACGUGGCACCAUGGCCCACCUACUUUUAUUUUAUUUAAAUCAUAUAUCAUAUAUAUUACUAUAUAUAAUAAUAUAUUAUUACUAUAUAAGAAGAGCGAAUAAAAUUCACUCUUCUUUCGACACGUGGCACCAUGGCCCACCUACUUUUAUUUUAUUUAAAUCAUAUAUCAUAUAUAUUACUAUAUAUAAUAAUAUAUUAUUACUAUAUAAGAAGAGCGAAUAAAAUUCACUCUUCUUUCGACACGUGGCACCAUGGCCCACCUACUUUUAUUUUAUUUAAAUCAUAUAUCAUAUAUAUUACUAUAUAUAAUAAUAUAUUAUUACUAUAUAAGAAGAGCGAAUAAAAUUCACUCUUCUUUCGACACGUGGCACCAUGGCCCACCUACUUUUAUUUUAUUUAAAUCAUAUAUCAUAUAUAUUACUAUAUAUAAUAAUAUAUUAUUACUAUAUAAGAAGAGCGAAUAAAAUUCACUCUUCUUUCGACACGUGGCACCAUGGCCCACCUACUUUUAUUUUAUUUAAAUCAUAUAUCAUAUAUAUUACUAUAUAUAAUAAUAUAUUAUUACUAUAUAAGAAGAGCGAAUAAAAUUCACUCUUCUUUCGACACGUGGCACCAUGGCCCACCUACUUUUAUUUUAUUUAAAUCAUAUAUCAUAUAUAUUACUAUAUAUAAUAAUAUAUUAUUACUAUAUAAGAAGAGCGAAUAAAAUUCACUCUUCUUUCGACACGUGGCACCAUGGCCCACCUACUUUUAUUUUAUUUAAAUCAUAUAUCAUAUAUAUUACUAUAUAUAAUAAUAUAUUAUUACUAUAUAAGAAGAGCGAAUAAAAUUCACUCUUCUUUCGACACGUGGCACCAUGGCCCACCUACUUUUAUUUUAUUUAAAUCAUAUAUCAUAUAUAUUACUAUAUAUAAUAAUAUAUUAUUACUAUAUAAGAAGAGCGAAUAAAAUUCACUCUUCUUUCGACACGUGGCACCAUGGCCCACCUACUUUUAUUUUAUUUAAAUCAUAUAUCAUAUAUAUUACUAUAUAUAAUAAUAUAUUAUUACUAUAUAAGAAGAGCGAAUAAAAUUCACUCUUCUUUCGACACGUGGCACCAUGGCCCACCUACUUUUAUUUUAUUUAAAUCAUAUAUCAUAUAUAUUACUAUAUAUAAUAAUAUAUUAUUACUAUAUAAGAAGAGCGAAUAAAAUUCACUCUUCUUUCGACACGUGGCACCAUGGCCCACCUACUUUUAUUUUAUUUAAAUCAUAUAUCAUAUAUAUUACUAUAUAUAAUAAUAUAUUAUUACUAUAUAAGAAGAGCGAAUAAAAUUCACUCUUCUUUCGACACGUGGCACCAUGGCCCACCUACUUUUAUUUUAUUUAAAUCAUAUAUCAUAUAUAUUACUAUAUAUAAUAAUAUAUUAUUACUAUAUAAGAAGAGCGAAUAAAAUUCACUCUUCUUUCGACACGUGGCACCAUGGCCCACCUACUUUUAUUUUAUUUAAAUCAUAUAUCAUAUAUAUUACUAUAUAUAAUAAUAUAUUAUUACUAUAUAAGAAGAGCGAAUAAAAUUCACUCUUCUUUCGACACGUGGCACCAUGGCCCACCUACUUUUAUUUUAUUUAAAUCAUAUAUCAUAUAUAUUACUAUAUAUAAUAAUAUAUUAUUACUAUAUAAGAAGAGCGAAUAAAAUUCACUCUUCUUUCGACACGUGGCACCAUGGCCCACCUACUUUUAUUUUAUUUAAAUCAUAUAUCAUAUAUAUUACUAUAUAUAAUAAUAUAUUAUUACUAUAUAAGAAGAGCGAAUAAAAUUCACUCUUCUUUCGACACGUGGCACCAUGGCCCACCUAUCCUAAUUUAAUAAGUGCUCAAAUAAUAUGAAAAAUAAAAAUUUAGUAAGAUUCUCAUCUAAUAUGGGACGGAGAGAAUAACAAUAUAACUUUAUUAAUGUUGGGCUCGGGCAGCGCCCGGGCUUUCGUUACUAGUCUAUAGAGAGACAUGAGCCACGUUAAUUUUGUUGCUUGGCACCUAUUCCUGUGAAAGACUUUUAGUUUUUUUCUUUGUGGGGUUUUAUUUGUGGAACUAAUAUGUCAAUAAAAGUGCAUAUCUCCCUAUAUAUAUAUAUAUAUAUAUAUAUAUAAAGAUGUUACAUAAAUGAAGGAUAAAAAAAUGACAAAGGUAAAAUAGACUUGGCAUAUGAUAGGGGUGCGGGGGGGGGGGGGGGGGGGUUAUUUCNNNNNNNNNNGGGGGAGGUGAUUAUUUCUCAAAGUUGAAGUGGUGUUUGAUUUUUUAUGAACAAAUUUUUAUGCAAAAAAAUGCAAUACACUAAUUUUAAAAAAAAGUAAGGUAUAAUGCAUAAUUUAUAUAUGCAGUAAUAUCAUUAGCUUAUGCAUUAUUUAAUAAGUUUGUGUUGUUUAGUACAUUGGGUUCGCUAAUAAUAUAAGUAAUAAAUUAAACAUAAUUGAAGUGCUUGUAUAAGAAUUAUAAGAUCCAAUACGACAUGGAGACAAUUCAUUUCCUUUUGAAUGAAUUGUAUUUUUUUCUCUUUUGGAUGAAUAUUUUAAAAAAAUAAUCAAAUAAUAUAAAUAAAUAGAUCUAUAAGAGAGAUAUUUAAAAUAUAAAUUAAUUAUUACAUUGUAAACAAAUAAAUUGUGAGAAAAAUCAAAGUGUACAUUUGUCUCGUUAUGAUGGCGAUAUCCUUUCUCUUUUUUUCCCCUAAUCAUGUAGAUGGACCGUAUAAUAUGUAUCUCUGUUCACUUGAAUUUUUUGAAAAAAAAUAAAUAAGAAAAAAAACAUAUUUAUCAAAUGCAUAGAUGUUUAUCGAUAAGAAGAAACAAAAAAGACUAAACAAUAAAAAUUAUACACUCGAUAUAAAUACACAAUUUAAAAAAAAAAAAGAUUAUAGGGAAAGAAGAAGAAGAAGGAAGAAAGAAAGAGCAAAUAUACGAUACAAACACAUUCAAUAAAAUAUCUUCUUAAUUAAAUACAAGCCUUUAAUUUCAGUUGUUGGAUAAUGUAUAUUUAAGACUUGUUUGUUUUUCUUAUUGAGGCUGGAGAGCUACGCAAUUAAUAUGUCAAGUAAACAUACAUCUAGAGGCCUGUGGCUUACGCAAAAAAAAUUGUAAAGAGUGUCACGUUUUAAAAUAAAUAAUAAUAAUAUAUAUAAAUAUAUUGAACUAAAUAUUUUACUUAAAAAUAUACAAAGUGUAGUUGAUGGGAUUCAAACUCGCAAAGUUUAAGAAGCGCCGAACCACUUGACUAUGCCCCUAUUUGUGAUAAGUAGUGUCACUCUAUUACAUUUAACCAAUUUUCUGAUUUUGUUUUUACAAUUCGAUAAAAGUAUUUAAUAAAAAAUUUCAAUCAAGCAGUGUCCCGUGACACCCCUUAACAUAAGGUAAAUCUGCCCCUGCUAGAGGUGAAUCUAACACACCGAUCAAUAAUUUUCGAAGAACUCACUCAAUAUAGAAAUGAACAACAAACACAUGAUAUUUUCAUUCCAAGCAUAAUGCAUAAACAUGACUCUUAACUUGGCGUCAAUUGGCAACUAUGACCUUUAACUUUGGCUGUGCACAAGUAGGCACUUAAAAAUUGAGCAAAUGGACACAUUCGUCCAACAUGGCAUCCUACGGCAAUUUUGUAUCCUACGUGUAUUGUGCUAUGUAGGACACUUGUGUUUACUUGUUCAAUUUUAUAUAAGUUUAAGUGUCUACCUAUACACAUUCAAAGUUAGAGGGCAUAGUUAUUCACUGAAGCCAAGUUAAGGGUCAUGUUUAUGUAUUAUGCCUUCAUUCUAUCCAUAUAGCUCAUAGCACCCUUUUGUUGGUUAGAUUAGGCCCCAACCUGACUCAACUUUGAAUAGAAUGGUCCUAAAAUAUAUUUUUGAUAUGUGAGCCUUUAAUUUCAAUUGAUGGGGUAUAUAUUUAUGACAUAUGCAGAGAGAUAUGAACAACGUUAAUUUUGUUGCUUGACACCUAGUCCUAUGAAUAAUUUUAUCUUUUUUUGUGGAUUUUUUUUUAUAGCCGGGAAAUUAAUAUGUUAAUCAAAGUAUAUAUCUCCACAUGUAGGGGUGUUUAUAAUUGGGUGAAAAUCAUCUUAUAUGCUUCAAUUUUGAGAAAUAAUCAUUUUUUCCCCUUCAUAUUGGCUUUUUUAAAAUAUCUAAGCCGCUGAAGCAAGUAAUAAAAAAUAAUGUGAUAACCUUAUAAACAUAUUUUGAAGCAAGUAAUAAAAAAUAAUUAACAAAAAUCAAGAUAUUUCAAAAUAAUUUCUUAAAAGAUUAUCUAUUAAUAUUAUAAAUAAUUUUAAAUUAUAAUUAAGAAAUAUUUCAUUAAUGACAAUAAAAAUAGUUUUAUCUAUAUGGGUAAUAGAGAAUAAGAUAUAUACAUGAAUACAUAGACGUGCCUUUUUAACUUGGCUUUAACUGUCAUCUAUACUCUUUAACUUUGGGUGUGUACUAGUAUAUAUUUAAAUUUUUAUAAAGUUGAACAUGUAUACGCACGCGUUCUACAUGACAAUUUGCCUGAGAUACACUUGAAUUGAUUGUAUUAUGUCAUAUAGAAAAUAAAUAUAAAUAUACUGAACUAAAUAUUUUACUUAAAAAUAUACAAAGUGUAGUUGCUGGGAUUCAAACUCACAAAGUCUAACAAGCGCUGAACCACUUGAACUAUGCCCCUAUUUGUGAUAAGUAGUGUCAGUCUAUUAUAUUUAACUAAUUUUCUGAUUUUGUUUUUCAAUUCGGUAAAAGUAUUUAAUAAAAAUUUCCGAUCAAGCAGUGUCCUGUGACACCCCUUAGCAUAAGGUAAAUUUGUCCCUGCUAGAGAUGAAUCUAACACACCGAUCGAUAAUUUUUGAAGAACUCACUCAAUAUAGAAAUGAACAAUAAACACGUGAUAUUUUCAUUCCAUCCGUAUAGCUCAUAGAACCCCUUUGUUGGUUGGAUUAGGUCCCAACCUGACUCAACUUGGAAUAGAAUGUUCCUAAAAUAUCUUUUUGAUUUCAUAUGAACCUUUAAUUUCAAUUGAUUUUGAAUAGAAUGGUCCUAAACAACACUAAUUAUGUUGCUUGGAGCCUAGACCUAUGUAGAUUUUUUGUUUUUUUCUUUGUGUGGAUUUUUUGAUAGCUGGGAAAAUAAUAUGUCAAUAGAAUAAUUAUAUCUCCACAUGUAAGGGUGUUUAUAAUUUGCUGAAAAUAAUCUACAUUUCCGAAUUUUAUUUUAAAUCAUCGCCCCCCCCCCCUCCCUUAAUUUUGAGAAUUAAUCUUCUUUUUUUUUCAAAUUGACUUUUUAAAUGUUUUUUCUACCCUUACAUUAUCAACCUUUAUUUUUUAUAUACUUCUUUUAAAAUCAUAAUAUAUUUAUUUUGUAAUCUAUAUAAAAAAUUAUUAAAAAAAUAUUGAUAAGCAUAUAACUUAAUGUCGUUCUAAAAUAAAAUAAAUGAAAAAAAAAUAAAAGAGUGAUGUUAUUAACUUUAAUAAAAUCUAUAAUGUGAUAACCUUAUAAACAUAUUUUGAUGCAAGUAAUAAAAAAUAAUUAAUAAAAAUAAAGAUAUUUCAUAAUAAUUUUUUAAAAUUUACCUAUUUAUAUUGUAAAUAAAUUUCAAAUUAUAAUUUAAGAAAUAUUUCAUAAAUGACAAUAAGAACUCGUUUAUCUACAUAAGUAAUAGAGAAUAAGAUAUAAACAUAAUUAUAUAAAUGUGUCCUUUUAACUUGGCAUCAAUUGUCAUCUACACCCUUCAACUUUGUGUGCACACAAGUAUAUAUUUAAUUUUUUAUAAAGUUGAACAAGUAGACACAUGUGUUCUACAUGACAAUUCGUGUAAGAUACACUUGAACUGAUUGUAUUAUGUCAUGUAGAAAAUAUAUUAUGCUACGUGUAGAACGCCUGGGUCUAUUUGUUCAACUUUAUACAAUUUUAAAUGCCUACUUGUACUCAUUCAUAAGUUGGAGGACAUAAAUAUCAAUUUAUGCCAAGUUAAAGACCACGUGUUAAGGCACCGGGUUGAUAAUGAACCAAGAAGUAAUAAAAGAUACUAAACUGUGACAUAAGAACAACAGGAGUUUUACGUGGAAACCUCCUUGAUCAAGGGAGAAAAAUCACGACCUGCCACACAUGAUUUUCAACAGCUUUCACUAUUUUCAAGCAACAAGUGAAUACAGACUCCAAAUACACAUAAGGAGAUUAAACUCUUAAUCUCACCACCCGUAAUAAUCCUAUUACAAAGAGAGCCAAAGCAAUAUUUUCAUUGCCCACAAUAUUAACUAACUCUAAUUAAUAUAGACUUCAAUCACACACCACACAGUUAACUUUAACUAUGCUCAUUGUUGUUUCUUUAUAGAUUAGAAACGGAUCUUACAAGUUCACUACAUCACAAGCAUUUUCUAAUAACACUUGGAAGACACACUCGAUAUGUAACAUCUCGCUAAAUUGAAAGAACUAGAAAGAGUUAGAAGUGGAAAUAGUCAUUUUAGGAAAGAAUAAAAAGUCUGGAAAUUUGUUAAGUUUGGAUUUUUGGUCAACUUCAAACGACCAUAACUCCUAUCUCAGGAUGAGUUAGGUGUGUUUCCAGAUACCGUAGGAAAUAUCGUUGAAUUAACUUUUCAACGCCUCCAAUUUUGCGCGAUUCCAAGUUCGUAUGAGUGAGAUAUGCCCUUUGGAAGUUGGGUUGUUUAGAUAAGGAAAGUCUAAUCCGAAUUUUGGAAGGGUAUUUUAGUCUUUUCCUUGCCCAAUUGUUUUAUUUCAUUUUUGCUAAUUAAGUUAGGGUCUAAUCAUAAUUAGUCCAGUUUAGAAAAGUUGAAGUUCACUCUAGGGCUUGGAGAAAAAAGAAAAGAGGAGAAAGGAGAAGAAAAGUUCAAAGUUUGUCAAUUUCUUGGAGAUUUUCGUGUGGAUUUCGCCAAGGAUUUAAUCCUACAAGGUAUGGGAGGCUUUCAUAACAUUGGGUUCGUUCACCCACGUGCCAAACAUAUUUAUUUCAGUGUGAAUUCAUCCUAAAAGAGUUUGAAAGUUGAUGUCCUUGAUAUGUAUUCUUGAAUUUGAUGUCGUUCUUGAAUUGGGCUGAGAUUGAGAAGUUUCUGAGAUCAUUACGUCAAAUUAUUGAGUUGGUUGGAGUUAGGUUCUUAGGUACAUUUGUUGGGUAUCUGUAUCUAAAAAUAAUUUGGGAAAAAGAAACGAGUUUGGGCGAAUUGGGGCUAGAAAAUGAAGAAGGAAAUUAGUAGGGAAAAUCUGGGCAUUAGCUCCACGUCACGGACCUGCUCCCCAGAUUGGGGAAAAAUUAUUUCGCGUCGCUGAGCGGUCACGGACUGUUCUGCCUCAAAAAGUAUUUUCGCGACCAAAAUUUAAAUACAUCUCCUCGUCGCGGACCUGCCCUCAGACAGUGAUUUUUUUUUAUCUUUUCUCAUGUUUAGCUAUCUAAAAACACUCCUAAACAUCAUGAGAUCUUUCCUAUCACAAAUCACAAUCCUUGAAUCCAUAAUUCAAUUCAAGGAAAAUUAAGAGUCAAGUUUAGAAGUUAAGAAACAAGUCAAGAGAAGUUCAUUAAAAGUGUUUCAAAAGUCUUUCACAAACGUUUUAACUUUGUUCUAAGACUUAUGUUUUAAGUUAAGCAAAGAGUAAAGAGUUGAGUUCAUUUCUCCAAAAGUUAUAAGGGAACUAAGUAUUCCCAAGAGUUUAAAAUGUUUUCACAUUGAACAAGAAAGGGAACAUCGAUUCCAAAAGAGCUUUUAAGCUAAGUUUUGAGUAAUUAUCUCAAACCAAAGAAAGAAGUUUGUUUUAAAAAAUAUAUGAGCUAAGUAUAUUUUGGGAGUAGUAUUGAGCACCGAUAUGGGGAUGCGAGUUCAUAUUAACUCAAGUCUCCAUAAACCAUGUAGCCAUCAUGGGUAGUAAAGGAUCAUACUUUUUAGAUGACUCCUUAAGAUGCUUUUAGCAUAAGACUAGUGAAUCCACUUAGUUAAGGUGUUAUAUAUGACUGCAAAGUAUAGGACAGUUCUGGCAGCGUGGACAAGACGUUGUAUCAUCACUUAGGCUCAUAGUGGUGGUUUUUCGGUUAGAGAAUCUCCCACAGAAACUAUUACUUUAUUAUAUGAGUAAAGUUGAGUUUGUUAUUGCAUUUUCUUUAACGAACUAAGUUGUUUUCCACUUUUUUACUAAGCUUUCUAUAUAUUGCAUAUGUUUAUUGCUUUAUAUUGAGUUAAGUUAUUCAGGAGUUGAGUAAAGUCAAGGUAAGUGUUUCUUUUAGAUUUCUUUUCAAGCCUAAUGUUGUGUUUUAAGCAUUUCCAAACUUCGCAUACUUGUACAUUCAAUGUACUGAUGCCAGUUGACCUGCAUCCUCUUAUGAUGCAGAUGCAGGUAACCAUGAUCAUCACCCAGCGCCUCAUUGAUCCAGUUGAGCACUCAGAGUCAGUUGGUGAGCCUCCUUGCAUUCCGAAGGACUCCUUUUACUUUGCUUUCAGUAUUUCAUUGUUAGGAUGAUCGGGGGUCUUGUCCCGACAUCCCUCUUUGUUUUAGAGGCUUCAUAGACAGUCAUACAGUUAGUAGUUUAGUUGUCUUUACAUUGUUAUUUCUUAUGUUAAGACUUGAGUUGCCACUUUGGCCAAGUUGAAUGUUGACUUUUAAACAUUCUAAGCUAUUUUAUUUAACAAUUGAGUAAGUACAUUUGAUCAUUGUAAUAAUGCUUAGAGUCUUCCGCUGAGUAAGUAAGUCAGGUCAAGGGUUCGAUUGGAGCCACUAAUGGUUCUUGAGUGCCAGCCACCUCCAGGGUGUAGGCUCGGGGGGUGACACGAUAACUCUAUCAGGUCCCUUAUGGUUGUUGAAAGCUUAAGUUCUUCAAAGACAAAGUUCACCCUUUUGAUGAAUCGAAUUGUUUUAUAUUUUCUCACUAGGUUAUAUCAAUCAACCGAGGAUGUAUUAUCCUCUGAACAAACAAUCUAGUGCUUUCUCAUUGGUGGAGUACACUGCUCUUGUUUCAUGUGCUCACCAACUGCGUUAGGUGUGACAACUUUACAACUGUUCACCAUUAUUUAGGCCAGAGGAAUGCCACUCAAAUUUGGACCAAGUCCCAAUGUUUGUGAAUAUUAUCAAAACACUGAAAUACAACAUAAAUGAACAAGAAAAAAAAAUGCAAUUUUCAUUCCAUCUGUAUAGGCCAUACCACUCUUUUGUUGGUGAGAGUAGGUCUCAACCAGGGGCGGCUGUAAAGGGUUAAAAAAAAGUCUUUUGCCUUAGGCCCCCAAUUUUAGGGGGCCUCAUUUUUUAGUUAAUUAGGUAGGAUUAAAUUAAAAAAAUAAUAUUAGAACUAAGACAAUAAAUGCAAAGGCCCCAUUUUUAGAUAAUUAGGAAGGAUUAAAUUAAAUUUUUUUUUGCUAGAACCAAGACAAUAAAUUCAAGUGGAAAAGGUCUUUUUGAAGUUAUUUUAGAUGAAAUAAAAUGUAUUGGACUUGAUAUUGAUAAUUUAAGAGGACAAGGAUAUGAUAAUGGGUCUAAUAUGAAGGGAAAACACCAAGGAGUGCAAAAAAGACUUCUUGAUAUAAAUCCUAGAUCAUUUUAUACACCAUGUGGUUGUCAUAAUCUAAAUUUGGUACUUUGUGAUAUGGUUAAUUCUUGUACGAAAGCUAUAUCAUUCUUUGGAGUGGUACAACGUAUAUAUUCACUAUUUUCUUCGUCUACUAAGCGGUGGAAAAUUUUAAAAGAUAGUGUACCUAGUUUAACUCUUAAAUCAUUGUCACAAACACGGUGAAAAAGUCGUAUUGAAAGUAGCAAUAAGGUUUCAAACUCCACAAAUAAGAGAUGCUUUAUUUAAAUUAGAAGAAGUUAGUGAUGAUCCAAAAAUUAAAAGUGAAGCUAAUUGUUUAGCAAUUUUUUAGCUUGAAAUUUUAAAUUUUUAUUGGGUAUGACUAUUUGGUAUGAUGUACUAUUUGCUGUAAAUUCAAUUAGCAAAAGUUUACAAUCAAAAGAUAUGCAUAUUGAUGUCGCUAUAGAUCAAUUAAGAGGUUUAGUUUCUUUUUUUAAAACAUAUAGAGAAGAAGGAUUUACAAGUGCUAUGAUUUCGGCUAAGGAAAUUGCAUUAGAGAUGAAUAUAGAACCUGUAUUUCGUAAGAAACGUGUAAUUUAUAGAAAAAAACAAUUUGAUGAGAAUGUUGAUAAUGAAAUCACAAGAUCUCUUGAAGAAUCAUUUAGAGUUGAUUACUUCUUAUACAUAGUAGACCAAGCCAUCUUUUCACUUCAAAAUAGAUUUGAACAAUUUGAAGUAUAUGAAAAUAUUUUUGGUUUUCUAGUUAGUGGGAAAAAAUUGAGAUCAUUAGAUGAUGAGAAUUCAAAAAAAUAUUGUCUUAAUCUUGAAUGUUCCUUAAAACAUAAUACUCACUCCGAUAUUGACGGUUUAGACUUAUUUUCUGAAUUAAGAGUGUUAAGGGAAAUCAUAAAAGUAGAAGACAAUACUCUAAUUGAGAUACUCAAUCAAAUAAAAAGACUUGAUUCUUUUCCAAAUGCGUACAUUGCUUAUAGAAUAAUGUUAAUAAUUCCUGUAACAGUCGCCUCAGCCGAAAGAAGUUUUUCAAAAUUAAAAAUAAUAAAAUAUUAUUUCAGAUCGAUAAUGUCUCAAGAAAGAUUAAGUGGUUUGGCUAUAUUAUCGAUUGAAAAAGAAUUAUUAGAAGAGAUUGACUACACAAAAAUUAUUAACAACUUUGCAUCUCAAAAAGCUAUAAAAAUAGAUUUAAAAUAAAAACAUUUAUAAUUUUUUUUUAAGGCCUCUAGUUUGAUUUUGGCCUUAGGCCACCAACGGGUUUGAGCCGCCCCUGGUCUCAACCUGACUCAACUUUUAGUAGAAUAGUCCUAAAAUAUCUUCUUUAAUUUCAAUUGAUGGGGUAUAUAUUUAUGACAUAUGCAGAGAGAUAUGAACAGCGUUAAUUUUGUUGCUUGACACCUAGUCCUAUGAAGAAUUUUAUCUUUUUUUUUGGGUUUUUUUUGGUAGCUGGGAAAUUAAUAUGUUGACAAAGUAUAUAUCUCCACAUGUAGGGGUAUUUAUAAUUGGGUGAAAAUCAUCUUAUUUAUUUUAAAUCAAACUCCUCCUACAAUUUUGAGAAAUAACCAUUUUUCCUUCAAAUUGGCUUUUAUAAAUAUCUAAGCCACUGAAGCAAGUAAUAAAAAAUAAUGUGAUAAUUACCUUAUAAACAUAUUUUGAAGCAAGUAAUAAAAAAUAAUUAACAAAAAUCAAGAUAUUUCAAAAUAAUUUCUGAAAAGAUUAUCUAUUAAUAUUAUAUAUAAUUUUAAAUUAUAAUUUAAGAAAUAUCCCAUUAAUGACGAUAAAAACAGUUUAUCUAUAUAGGUUACAGAGAAUAAGAUAUAUACAUAAUUACAUACACAUGUCUUUUUAACUUGACUUUAAUAACUGUAAUCUAUACCCUUUAACUUUGGGUGUGUACGAGUAUACAUUUAAAUUUUUAUAAAGUUGAACAUGUAGACGCACGCGUUCUACAUGACAAUUUGCAUGAGAUUCACUUGAACUGAUUGUAUUAUGUCAUAUAGAAAAAUAUAUUAUGCUACGUGUAGAACAUGUGCGUCUAUUUGUUCAACUUCACACAAGUUUAAAUGUCUAUUUAUGCUUACUCAUAAGUUAGAGGGAAUAAAUAUCAAUUUAUGCCAAAUUAAAAAGCAUAGUAAUGUAUUAUUAUGCCCAAGAAAUGAAUGAAACUUAAAUAUGCAUGCACAUAAUACAUUCAUACAUAUGUACUUAAUUUAUGCAAUAUUAAAAUAGUAAUUAUGAAAACUUACCAAUUAAAAUAUUUAUAAAAAUUAUAAAAACUUAUCCAUUCAAGAGAAAAAAGUUGGUAUUUGAUUGAAAAAAGAAGAAGAAAGAAACAUUUGUAGAGAGAGAGAGGCGAAAGGAUAUAAGUAGGAAGUUCAACAUAAUUAAAGUUCUGGUAUAAGAGUUAUAAGAUCUAAAAUGACAUGAAGACAAUUCAUCUCCUUUUGAAUGGAUUUUUUUCUCUCUCUUUUGGACGAAUUAUUUUUUAAAAAUUUUCGUGUAUAGUUAAUAAUGAAUAAUCAAAUCAAAAUCGAUAAAUAUAUAUUAUAUCUAAUUUAAUUUAAUUUUAAUAAUUUAAAGAUUAAUCAAAUUAAUUUGUUCAUGAGUUUUACCAAUAAACCAAUCCGUAAAUAUCCCUAAUAAUAAUCGAAAAAACACUUCAAAUAUGUAUUGAUCGUCUCACCCUCCAUUUCCAAUCCAAAACCAUCGCAACUAAUCUCUUAUUUUUAAGGCUUCCCACCUUUACAUCUUAACAAAUACAUAUUCCAUUUGUCCCAAUUUAUAUGACUUACUUUCAUUUUUAGUCAGUCCCAAAAAGGAUGACACGUUUAUAUAUUAAAGAACAAUUUAAGUUCAUUUUAUCCUUAAUAAAAUGAUUUAUAACCACACAAAUUUCUAUCAUUCAUAUUAGACCACAAGUUUUAAAAGUCUUCCUUUCUUUGUAAACUUUGUGCUGAGUCAAACUAACUCACAUAAAAUGAGACAGAGGAAUUACUUUAAUUCAAAUUCCAAUAAGAAUUAAUCAAUGAUGACUAAGAUCAGUGGACUAAGGCCUCCUUUAUUUCUAUUAAGAUUAAAACGUCUGAAUAAGAAUAUGAAUAUUAAGAUGUGCAUGAAGAUUUUGAUGUCUAGAUCUGAAUACACAUUUGAAUAUUAAAACGCGGCUUCUAGUUUUAUAUAAUGAAUGACUAAUAUUGUUUGUUUUCAAUAUCUGAUUGUGCAUAUGAAAUUCAACACUGUAUAAAUAAUAUAUUAUAAAAUUUUCAUUUAAAAAAAACAUUACCUUUUAAUAAGAUACCUCAAAUUUUAACAAUAGACCUCAAGUAUAUACAUAACUAUUCUUUUUAAUAAUGAUUAGUAUUUUUUUACUCAGAAACCUUGAUUCUUGAUGAAUAUCAAUACUCUAAAAAAUAUCAUGACAACAAGAGUUCUUGACAAACAUCAAUACACCCCACCCCACCCACCGCACUCUCAAUUUUAUUUUGUUAAUUUAAGAAAAUACUAAACAAAUUAAAAUACUUGUAAAGAUAUGAAAACUUAUCAAUUCAGGAGAAAAAAAAUUGGUAAUUAAUUGAGAAAAAAAGAAGAAGAAACAUUUGUAGAGAGAGAAAGGCGAAAGUGACAUGAAUAUUUUGUGAAUAUAGCAUAUUAAAUAAGUUUUGUUAAGACUGUUCUAAAUCUGAUUUGUUCAGAUUCAUUAAGACUCUUCCUAAAAAGAAAUAAACUAAAUCUGAAUGAUGAAAAAUUAGAUUUUCAUUAAAAGCAAAUAAAUAAGGCCUAAGAUCCGAUUUCCCUUUUGCUAUAAAAGUAGCUCACAUAUGAUCUAUUGUUAUACAAAUAACCUAGAUAUAUCCUUUUAGUUUAAUAGGAGUAAAAAAUGAAUUUUGAUUUUUUUGUUUAAAAAAAUAUUUUUUAAAAUUUAUUAUUCUACUCAUUUUCUUGUAAAAUUUAUUAUAUAUGUCCCAUUUUUUCACUCAUUAAUUUUUUUUCUUAAUUUUUUAAUUUUUUAUUCACACUUUUUUCUUUUUCUUUUUCAUAUUUUUACACUAAAAAAAUAUUAAAUAAAAAUAAAGAACUCAUAUAAUAAUAAAUAAAUAAAUAGAUUUAUAAGAGAUAUUAAAAACAUAAAUUAAUUAUUGAAUCAAAGAAGUAAAAAAAAAAAUCAAAGUGUGCGUUUGUCUUGUUGUUGUUGUUGUCGGCAGAUGGACAAUAUUGUCAAUUUGUAAAGCCAUAAGGCCACUAUACAGAACCCCUAAAGCAUUAUAAAUAGGAAUGGUGUCAUCAUACUUUAGUGUAGGGGUGUACAAAACCGAAUCGAAAAUCGAAUUAAAUCGUAAAUCGAGUUAAAUCGAAUAAAAUAUCCGACUAGUGGUUUGGUUUGACUUGGUUUGGUAUUGGAAAAAAAAAACCCGACUAUAUUUGGGUUGGUUUGGUUUUAAUUAAAAAAAAUCAACCCGAGACCAAACCAACCCGACAUUAUAUAUGUAAUUUUAAAAUUUUAUUUUAUACAUAAAAAUAUUUACAUUGAUAUAAUUCUAAAAUAUUUCUUAUACUAUUUCAUAGUUUUUAUCUUUUAAUAUAUUAUUUCAAGUUUAAAACUUAGAAUUCGGAAUGGUCCAAUAAAGUUAUAGUUCAUAGAUGUUGAUAAUUAUAAUAAAACUUAAAUCAAAAUAAAAUUAAUAAUAAUGCAAAAAGAAAAUCAAUUCAACACUAAGAAUGACAAUAAUAUUGAAUAUUUAUUCUUUAAUUUUACAUUGGUUUAGACAAUUAAAAUACAUAAUCUAAUUUUAAUUUUCCUUAAAUAUUUAGUAAUGUAACUAAUACUUAUUAAACUUAUUUUAGCAUGAUUUAGUACUUUUAAAUUAUGAUCAUUUUCAUUAUGACUUUGCAAUAUUUAUUUUAUAUGAUGAUUUCAUUAUUAUUUUUUAUUGAAUAUUUUAGUGUCAUCACUCAUCUCAUAUUUUGUGUUAUUUUCUUAAGAAACACCUUAGAUGAUUGUAUUUUGGUUGGAAUAAAGAAAUAUUUGGAGCACAAGUUAAUUAUAUGUUUGUAUGCAAACUUUACCAAAAAAAUCCAAAAAUCUGAAAAAAAUCUGAGGUUUAUUAGUUUGGUUUGAUUUAUAAAUUUAAAAAUUCGACAUAAUGGUUUGGUUUGGUAUUUGAAAAACCCGAACCAACCCGAGGUUGAAAAUCCCGAAAAAAUCCGAAUUUUAUUAGUUUGAUUUGGUUUAUAAAUGUAAAAUUUUUACACAAAUAAUUUGAUUUGAUAUUUGAAAACCCCAAACCAACCCGAUCAUAUACACCCCUACUUUAGUGUAUAAUUUCUAAUAUAAGUUGAAGAAAACUUUAAUUUGCAACUUCACUGUAGAGCCAACAUCAUUAUAACUUAUAAGGUAUGCCCUAUCUUUUAAUUUUUUUUAUAUUGAGAUCAUUUAAUGUAAAUAAGUGGAGUACUACUAUUUUUUUCUUCUUACAAAGUUAGUAGUAGUAAUUAGAGUAAAUUUUAGGCUUAUAAAAACAUAAAAAUCAUAUUUGUAUGUUAUAGCUAUAGUUUGCAUAAUUGCGUUCUAUAAAACCAUCUCCAACCCAACAUCAAAUCCUAUAUUUGGUGUAAAAUUUGGUGUUUUUGAGCUCCAACCCACACCAAUUUUUACACCAAAUUUGGUGUGUGAAUAGUGUUACACCAAAUUUGGUGUAACACUAUUCAUCACACCAAUUCACUUUUUGAAUAUUUUAAUAUUAUUUCAUUAUACAAAUUUUUAAUUAAACAUUAUAUAAAUUGUAUGAUUUAGUUAAAUCUCUUGUAUAUUUAAUUAUUUUUUAUGUAAUAUUUUUAUAAUAUUAAUUUUAGAUAUAAAAUUUAGCUUUUUUAUAAAUUAUUUUUUCUAUAUAUGUACUUUUAAAAAAAAUUAAAUUUUAAUGUUAAUUCUACUAUAAAUUAUAAUUGGAUAUAACUACAAUUAACCUUCACAAAAAAUUUAAAAAUGCAAAUAUAUAAAUUUUUAAACAAAUAAUACAAUGUACUUAAAAAUAACCGAAAAUAAUACGCAUUCAACAAAGUAGUAAUUGUCAUACAUCAAAAUUGAAAUAUAAAAUACAUAGUAAUUUUAAAAAGUACAACAAAACAUAAUAAUUUAAAAGACAAAGAAACUACAUUUUGAACUACGUAAUGCAUUAAUAGAGCAUUUAUGGGAGCACCGUAGUGAUCUUGAAAGUUGAAUAUUUAAUGUAGAAUUUAAAAAUAAUUUUUUCAAUUAUGUAAUGUUUAUUUAAUUGUAUUUCAUUAAUGAUUUCACUUUUAUUUGUAUUAUCUAUUAAUAUGUAUAAUGUAUAAUAUUUGCUAGCAAUUUAUAUUAUUUAAAAAAUUAUGGUACAAAAUAAUUUUAUAUUAAACGAUUAUAAAAGGAAAUAGUAUGAAUUAUAUAUGGUGAAUGUUUUAGAAAGUUUUUUUUUUAUGAAAUAAGUAAAUAUAAAUGAAAUAAGAAAUAAUAAUAUAAUAAUGAAGAGAGAAAAAUUUUCCUUUUUGGUGUAAAAUUUGGUGCAGUGGGUUGGAGUUGAUUACACCAAAAAUAGUGUUGACACCAAAUUUGGUGUAAAAUUUGGUGUUUGGGUUGGAGAUGCCCUAACAAAUUUUAUGUUUGCUAUGGAGCAUCAGAUCUAUAUAAAAAUCGCAGGCAACUUUGAUUUGUAUAAAAUUGCAGGCAUCUGAUUUGUAUAAAUCACAGCGAUUUGUAUAAAUCGGGCGUCUGUGUCUAUGGAAAUUGUGUUUGUAUAUGUAUAUGUUCUUUAUGUUUGUAUAUCUGCAUAAAAUUUGAAUUUGUAUAGAAUUGAAUCGAAAUAAAACAUUUGUAUAUCAAAUCUCUCUCUCUCGCUUUAUACAACACAAAUUAUACAUUGUAAUUUGUGUUUGUAUAAAGCGAGAAAGAGAGAAAGACAAAAGAGAACUGGUAGGGGAAGAUCUGUAUUUGUAUAAUUAUAAGUGUAUAGGACAAAAAUAUAUGUAUUUCUAUUUGUAUAUACAAUUUUAUCUCGCUUUAUAUAAACACAAAAGCAAUUUAUACAUUUGUGUUUGUAUAAAGUGAGAGAAGCGAGGGAGAGUGGCGAGCGAGAUCACGGAGAGUGUCGAGCGAGAUUUUUGGGGAGAGAGGCGAAUGGCAAGUGUUUGCUACGAAUUAGAAUUAAAUGAAACUGUGGUUAUAGCAUUUAAUUUGAAUUAAUAGUUUGCUAUUUUAUACAAUUUUCCCACCUAAUUAGUACUGAUAGUCGAUAUGUUUAAACUUACAUUUAUAGAGAAAAAUAUAUAGGGGAUAAUAAUCCCAAUUAAUUAGUAGUAGUAGAUUAUGUCAAGCAGACAAAAAUUGGAUAAUAUAAAUUUAAAUCGGAGAAGAAUGAGUCUAUCUUUGAAUUAUACGCAGCCUAGCUAGGUGAUUUUUAGAUCAUCUAAAAAAGAGUUAAUGGAACUUUUGAGUGCAUCAUGCUGAUCUUAGUGACAAAAUAAGAAAUUUUGUAUUUAAGAUUUAAUUGUUUUUUUUUAAAAUCUAUAUAUAUGUAGUAUAUUUUUUUCUAAUACAAAGUUUCUGACCUAACUCAUGUUUGUUCGAAAUUUGAUUGAUAUAUUUCCUUUACCAAACAGUUUUUGCAUCAUGAGGUUAAAAUUACACGUCGUGUUGACAGUCAUCCUCCUACUGUCCGGGGAGUAGUCACAAGGUAACUAGUCAUCAUUCACCUUAAUCUUUGGUGUAAUGUUAAAAAACUUACUUAAAUAUAUGACGCGCCUACUAAAGAAACGCGGAAUUUUUCAUAGGUGGUGGAAAGAAUUGAAAAUAGUGAAGACAUCACCUUAAGUAAGAGACAGAUUGGCAGAGGCUUACUUCUGGAGUUUAGGUGUCUACUUCCAACCUCAGUAUAGCAUUGCGAGGAAAAUAUCAACAAAAAACUUAUACAUGCUUUCUCUUAUUGAUGACACACAUUAUAUUUAAUUUAUGGGACACUAGAUGAACUUAUUCUAUUCACAGAGACAAUUGAAAGGUAAUAAUUCAUUUUGUUAUGUUGUAUAUAUAUAUAUUGAUAGCUUAUUAUAACAUUUUUAUAAUUGCUCUUUUAUAUAUAUGUAGGUGGAAUAUUGAUGCUUCCGAACAAUUACCAUCAUAUAUGAAGAUUAUUUACUGUGGUCUUCUAGAUGUUUACGAUGAAUUUGAGAAAGACUUGGCAGAUGAAAACAAAUCAUUUCUAGUCAACUAUUACAUAAUAGAGGUACUUAUAAAUAAAUUAGCAAAUAACAUAUACUUAAAUUGAUUAACAACUAUUAUUUUAUUUUUUUCUAGACGAAAAAGGUGGUGAUGGCUUACUUUCAAGAGGCAAAAUGGUAUUACGGUAAGAAUUUAUAUGACUUACUUUCAUUUUUAGUCAGUUCCAAAAAGAAUGACACAUUUCUAUUUAAAAGAACAAUUUAACUUUUAAAAGUCCAUUUUAUCCUUAAUGAAAUGAUUUAUAGCCACACAAAUUUUUAUCAUUCAUUUUAGAUCACAACUUUUAAAAGUUUUCCUUUCUUUGUAAACUCUGUACCGAGUCAAACUACCUCACAUAAAAUGGAACAAAGAGAGUACAUUAAUUCAUUCAAAUUCCAAUAAGAAUUAAUCAAUGAUGACUAAGACCAGUGGCCUAAAGCCUCCUUUAUUUACAUUAAGAUUAAAACGUCUAAAUUUGAAUAAGCAUAUGGAUAUUAAGAUGUGCAUGAAGAUCUUGAUGUCUAGAUCUGAAUACGCAUUUGAAUAUUAAAAUGUGGCCUCUAGAUUUAUAUAAUGAAUGACUAAGAUUGUUUGUUUGCAAUAUCUGAUUGUGCAUAUGAAAUUUAACACUAUAUAAAUAAAAUUUUAUAAAUUUUCAUUUUUAAAAAAUAUACCUUUUAAUAAGAUACUUCAAAUUUUAACAACAGAGCUCAAGUAUAUACAUAACUUCUUUUUAAUAAUGACUAGUAUUUUUUUCACUCAAAAACUUUGAUUCUUGAUGAAUAUCAAUACUCUAAAAAAUAUUAUGACAACAAGAGUUCUUGACAAACAUCAAUACCACCCCCCACCCCCCACCUUCUCUCAAAAAUUUUUGCUAAUUUAAGAAAAUACUAAACAAAUUAAAAUACUUGUAAAGAUAUGAAAACUUAUCAAUUUAGGAGGAAAAAAUUGGUAUUUAAUUGAGAAAAAAAAGGAAAAAUCAUUUGUAGAGAGAGAAAGGCGAAAGCGAUAUGAAUAUUUUGUGAAUAUAUCAUAAUAAAUAAAUUUUGUUAAGAAUGUUCUAAAUUUGAUUUGUUCAGAUUUAUUAAGAGUCUUCCUAAAAAACACAAACUAAAUUUGAAUGAUGAAAAAUUAGAUUUUCAUUAAAAGCAAACAAAUAAGGCCUAAAAUUGAUGAAUAAUAUGUAUACUAGAUGACUCAUGAACAACAUGUUCAUUUUAGUCAUUGCCCUUACAACAAUAUUGUCAUACCGCUAUGUUACUACUCCCUCCGUUUCGUUAUAUUUGGCUUCUAUAUUAAAUUUUUUUAAUUUAAAAAAUAUAUUAUUUUUAGUAUUAAAUAAUGGAAAAAAAGGAUAAAUAUAUCCUCGAACUUUCAAAAUGGUAUACAAAUACCCUUCGUUAUACUUUGAGGUUAUAUAUACCCUUACCAUCAUAUUUAAUUUUUGGAUCAUGUAUAUCCCUACACUAAACGGAGAGACACGUGGCGACAUCAUAAAAGUUUACCCUAUUUUAUUUUGUUUUAACUUUCACCUACAAAACUAAAAACCCACUCAACUAUCUAUUUACCUGACCCGAAUUAAAAAUCCUGACCCAAUCUAAAACAUUUGUGGAGUACAUUUCUGAAGCAAAUCCUUCAAUCCCGUCAUCAUUCUUCUCCAUUCUCAAUAAUCAAGAUCUCAUCCAUGAUGGAAAAUUCAUUUGCUAGAGAAACCUAUUACACUAUCUAUCAAAUUUAUUUUCAAAUUUACACUAAAUAAGCUGAAAAUAUAAAACCUUUACAUAUAAACAUGUCACAAAAAACUCUUUAUCAAAAUUAAAACCUCAAUACUACAACACAUAAGAAAAUUUCAACAAGAUUUAGAGCUCAAAUCAGAUGUCAUACUAAGAAACUCAUUACACAAUUGGAAGAAAAAAAAGGAAAUGGAGAAAUGACCAGAAGCCAUCGGAAAGCUCUCUGAAACACUCAUCCCCUUUCCCUUUCCUACAAAAUUUAACAAACUCUUCCGCUUCAUCUUACACAUAUUAUUGCUACUGAACUACAGAAGCCACGGUAGGAUAGAAGCCCUAAAAUAUGAGGUUUACUAAAUAGAAGUAGAGGUUUACUCACCCUAAAUGUCAUAUUUAAAUAAGAUGUAAAGCUUUAAAACCAUCAAAAGUUCCAAAUCAAAUUGUAAAAGUAGUCAAACAAGUAUAUCAUUUACGUAGAAUACUACAUACAUUGAUCUAGAAUGUCCUCUUUUACUUGUUCAUAAUAUAUAUAUAUAUAUAUAUAUAUAUAUUUGAAGCAGAUGCUUAUAAGAAGUUCACUGACGAACAAACAAAUUUCAAGAAAGAAUUGGUUAACGACGUGCAUGGAAUGUUGAGCUUAUAUGAGGCAGCACAAUUCAGAGUACACGGCGAAGUAAUUCUGAAUGAAGCACUAAAUUUCACCACCACUCAAUUGAAACUAAUUUUGCCUAAAUUGAGCAACUCCCCACUUGCACAACAAGUCGCUAACGCACUCAAGUUUCCAAUUAAAGAUAGUAUUGUGAGGGUAGAAGCAAGGAAAUACAUAUCAUUUUACCAAGAAAAUCAAAAUCACAAUCAAGUCUUACUAAACUUUGCCAAAUUAGACUUCAAUAUCUUGCAAAUGUUACAUAAAAAAGAGCUAUGUGAUAUCACAAGGUAACUAGUCAUCAUUCACCUUAAUCUUUGGUGUAAUGUUAAAAAACUUACUUAAAUAUAUGAUGUGCCUACUAAAGAAACACAUAAUUUUUCAUAGGUGGUGGAAAAAAUUGGAAAUAGUGAAGACAUUACCUUAUGUAAGAAACAGAUUGGCAGAGGUUUACUUCUGGAAUUUAGGCGUAUACUUCCAACCUCAGUAUAGCAUUGCGAGGAAAAUAUCAACAAAAAACUUAUACAUGCUUUCUCUUAUUGAUGACACAUAUGAUAUUUAUGGGACACUAGAUGAACUUACAUAAUUUUAUUUUAUUUAUACUUACAAGUCAUUUCUAGUCAACUAUUACAUAAUAGAGGUACUUAUAAAUAAAUUAGCAAAUAACAUAUACUUAAAUUGAUUAACAACUAUUAUUUUAUUUUAUUUCUAGACGAAAAAGGUGGUGAGGGAUUACUUUCAAGAGGCAAAAUGGUAUUAUGGUAAGACAGUACUAAAAAUGGAACAAUACAUGAAGAAUGGAAUUUCAACAAGUGCUUACGUACAGUCCAGAUGGCGCUACUGCAUGGUUAGGCAUGGGAAAGGUAGCAACUAAAGAUGCAUUUGAUUGGAUAGCAACUGAACCUCCAAUACAUGUUGCUUCUUCUAUCAUUACAAGAUUACUCAAUGAUCUUUUAUCACAUGAGGUAUACAUAUAUAAUUUAAUUUAUUUAUUUACACUAAUAAUUGGAGUAUUUUAUAUCAUCACUAUGUUAACUUGUUACAUUAUAUCGAAGAUUUCACUUUGACAUCUAAUAGACCAUUUAAAUUUUCUUUUAAAAUUAUUUUUCUUUUCAAUAAAGAAAAUAUAUAUCCCUAUCUUCUUCUUUCAGAAUACCCUCACUUGCUAGUUGCUACCAUUUUCUAAUUUUGUAUCCCUAUCCCUAUCUUUGUAUCUAAUUUUGUUUUUUUAUUCAUAUUAGGAAGAACAAAAACGAGGAGAUGCACCUUCUGGUGUCGAAUGUUAUAUGAAAGAAUAUGGCGUUACAAAGGAAGAAGCACACAUAAAAGUAAGAAAUAUAAUAGAAAAUUCUUGGAAGGAUUUAAAUGAAGAAUACUUCAAAGUGAAUAAGACUAUUAUACCAAGGAAUUUGCUCAUGUGCAUAAUUAAUCUAACGAGUGUAAUUGAGUUCUUCUAUAAAGAUGAAGAUGCUUAUACUUUUUCCAAAAAUAAGAUGAAAGAUGUCAUUUAUAGGAUACUUAUUGAUCCUAUUAUAUAGACUGAUGACAACCAGAAAAGGAAGAGGAGGAAUAAGAAAAGUCAAAACUGAAUGACUUUCUGAAAUAAUUAUGUAUUAGUUAAGUAAUUUUUCGAAGACAUUCGUUCUAUAAGUGCUUUCUUUUUGUACCAUUUCUUGGAAAUUAAGAAGUUACUUUUUAUAUCUUUGUCUUCCACUGAGGCUGAAUUAUACAGAUUGAUACUUCUUGUAGAAAUAUAAUACUGUCAAAUUUUAGUGGUGGUAAAUGAAAGAAUAGAGAUGUCUUACAUUAAAUUAUAGUGGUGGUAAAUAGGCUGGUUGGAUCAAAUUUGGGCGGGUUGAAAAUGGGUCAAUACAAAAGGGGUAAUAAUUCAAUCCGUUCAUAUUUGAUGUGUAAAAAUGGAUUGGGUAACAAAUGGGUUGGGUAGAAUACUAGUUUACCCAUUUUUUCAUGAGUAAAUUGUACUUACUUAAGAAUUCAACAUGGAGAAAAUAUUUUAAUCUUUUUUAGAUGAGAAAUGUUGAAAAUACUUUAUUUAGUUAUACUGUACCAUAAAAGUAAAAAAAAUAUAACUUUUCAAUAUAAGAUAAAUUUAUGUAAUAACAAAGGGAAAAUAUUUUAAUUUUAAAGUAAAUAAAUAUUUACAUUUUAGGACUAAAAUAUACUUAAUGCACUUUAAGCAAUGUCAAUACUAAUACAUAAUUUGCUUAUAUUACACUAUUAUUUAUUAUCCAAUAUAAAAUUAAACAAAUAAAUUUUCUUAUUUUCUAGUUAUACAAAUUUUUUAUCUUCCCAAAUAGAAGAAAUUGAUUCAGCGCCGAGCUAUAACAGCAAAUAAAUAGGAGGCAAAUAACUAAUUGUUGUCCCUCUGCUUCAACCAAAACCUUAUAGAGUUUUCUGACUAUCUCUCAUGAAGACAUGAGAGAUUGUUGUCCCCCUUUGUCUCGAUGACUUCUAUAUAGACUCGAGGUCCAUAUGCAAACCAGCUCGUUGGAUCAAUUCAGAAUCCAAGGGAUUCCUAUUUUCAGCAAUGUUGUCAAAGUGUAGACUAUCUUCUAGAAUAGGAGAGCCUCUCGACUCCAAAAAGGCCUUUCUAUUGUAACUCCUGGAAAAAAAAAGACUUCCUAUUGUUACUAGAUAGCAUUAUUAUCAGGAUAAAAAAUCAGUUAGUGAACCUGCUAUUUUAUGUUUAGAAUGGCAAUUAUUGGUUUAGAUGUUCAAAAUCUGGGUAUAAAACACAUCUUUUAACUGAGGGAGUGCAUCGCUUUUCAACUAUGAUUCACAUUUAGGCAUUAAUCUGGAAGGAUGUGUUGGAAUUUUCUUCAGUACCGAAUAUGAUAGGACUUUUUUAUUCAAAGAAGACCAACACAAAAGCUAUCAGAAAAGUCCCAAUAACCUAAGCUAGUGAUAUAUAGUCUCAGAAUGACUCUAUUUGUAAAUUGAAAGAAUUACAUUGUAGGUAUUGGUUGCACCAGUUGUACUGUGGUUAGCUCUUUCGCUUGAAAUUUUUCGUACUCACCUUUAUCAUCCCUGUAGGCUGUUGGAUUUUUAUUUUUAACUUUCUAUGUAGUCAUUUAUACUCCAUCCCAGCUUGAAUCCACUGUUAUACAAAUUAUAUCCUAUUCCCAAGUUAGAGCUCUCCAAGGUCAAUCAGACAUUUAGAAUAACAAACUGGCAGAAAAAAAAAGAGUGACCGAUGAAAAUAGAUAUUCAAAGAUGAGCGCAGAACUUGUCAUAUAAAACUGACAAAUUAGAAUUAUCACGUCAGACAAAGUUGCAAGUAUCAGAUAGGAAUGAAUUGAGAAAAGGUCAACUGAGAUGGUUCGAACAUGUUCGGUUCCAACUCCAACAUAAACCUCCAAAUGCACUAAAAGAGACGUGUUACUAAAUCUUAAUGACAAGAAUAAGUUGUCUCAUAGGCCUACAGUCGCUCGAGCAAUGCAGACAUAGCUAAGAAUAAAACAUGAUGAGUGUAAUUGAUUUGUAAUGAAUACGACCUUUGUGGCAGAAAAAAAAAAACAAACAGGAUGAGUAUAAAUGAUCCAUAUCGGUGAUACCAACUGGCUGGGACUAAGUGUUAAUUGUUAUUGGUACACUUGAGAUUAAGGUGUAGUUGAUUGCUAAGUUGCUCGGGUCCGGGUGUUGGAAGGAAAGAAAUUCACGGAUUCUUUAGAGAAAAUUUUGAAUCCGUAAUUAGUAUUACGUACAAAUGCAUCUCCUUACUAUUUUUGGUGCUAUAUAGAUUUCUUGAGUUAAUUGCACAUUCAAAAGUGAUGUUGACCUGUAAAUAUCUUUAAAACACCUUCUGGUUGUGGACUUCUAAUGCAAAUAUCUUUUACUUAUAAAAAAACUAUGCCUAAAUUAUGAUUUCACCCUAGCUUUUGUGUUUUGAUUUCAGAAAUUUUUGUAUCUGUCUCGAAUUUCUCAAUUGAUUUUGGUCAAAGUACUCGAAAUCGACUGACCAUAUUCGGUAUAGAUCCCACACCCACACCCAUGUUGUGUCGAUACGAGUGCGGCACCGAAAGUGAAGAGUUCGUGCAACUUAGGUUGGUUGAUAUGUUGAAGAGCACAGGUAUUAAAGUGAGAGUUCAAGUUUUCGUAAUGUUUAAAUAGGAGUGAUUCAGGAGGUUCAUAAUCUAUAUAUAUACUUCUAAAAAAAUGUCUUAUAUAUAUCGUGUAUUUUUUUGCCGAGGGGGGUCGAGUGAACCCUCUCACUAUCCUCUAGAUCCGCCCAUUCUAGUCAUGUGUACAUUAAGCAUAACAUUGGAAUUUCAUCUGCAUUUCUAGCUAUGUUGUUCGGACUCUUCAAAACUGUAAUCUAGUGUGUGUUGAAUACUCCGAAAGUAGUAUAGUGCAUUUUGGAGAAGCUGAUACGGGUGCGGCAACAAUUUCGGAGAGUUCAAGCAACAUAUUUCUAGUCCCUAUUGGAUCCUCUUCUGCUUUAUCAGCCAUUCUUUGCAUAUGUCCAUCACUUCUUGCAACCUUUUCCAAGAUGAAAAUUUGUGAGUAUCCAUCCAUUCUAUUUCUUUCUACAUUGCUUUGACAUCUGAUUGUGAGCUAUGCAAAAUCUACUCAGAUAAUUUUCAAUAGACUGAGCAUUUAGAAUCACUAAUAUCACACAUUGAAAAUUAUCAAUCAUGUGAGGAAUAACUGAAAACAAAAAACUACAUCUAUCUUUCUAAUCAUAAUUAGUAAAGUUAAGUGUUAAAAAUACACUUAAAUUAUUACUCUCUCCGUUUCAAAAAAAGUGGUUUAGUUUGGAUUGGCACAGAGUUUAAAAAAAUAAAAAAGACUUUUGAAUCUUGUGGUCCUAAAUUAAAGUUUUGUCAAAUGUACAAAAUUGUUCUUUAAUCUUGUGGCCUUAAACAUGCUGAAAUUAAAAUGUUAUCAAAAAAAAAAAUAGGUCAUUAUUUUUUAAAUAGACAAAAAAAGAGGGAGUAUAUUUUUUUGUAGUUUCAUACGUCAACUAUUGAGAGUGUGAGAAAUACACCUAACAUAUCACUUAUUAGUUUGAGAAACAUAUCUCAAUGUUGACUGACAUGAAUUUUUUUGUUCAUGUUUUUUUUUGCUUACAUGUGUUUUUAAAAGCGAAUUGUCAAAAGUACGCCUAAAUCAGUUUUUUUUCCGAGUUUCUUACCCUAAAUUAUCAUUCAUAAAUUUGAGAAACACACCUGAAGUAAUUACACUAUCUUUUAAAAAAAAAAAAGGAACUUGUCACAUGAAAAAAAAAAUACUCCCUCCAUCUAACAAUAGUUGUCCACUAUAUUAUUUUGGAAUGUCCAACAUUACUUGUUCACUUUAUGAAAUCAAUGAAUAAUUUUACUCUUAGUUCCUAUUUACCCUUAUCAUUAAUUAUAUUCAUAUCUUUAUUACAUUUUCAAGACAUUGAACUCUCUCCGUUCCUUUUUAUGUCAUCCUUACUAUAAAUAGUUGGUUCAUAACACUUGUCAUUUCAUAAAUCAAUGCAUAAAUUACAAUAUUCUUCCUAUUAUACCCUUGAUAGUUAAUUAGUUUGAAAAUAUAUAUUUGACCAACCUAGAAAAAUUAAUAAGUAAUUAAUGUUCAUUGUAAUUACUUCAUACAUUGAUUAAUUACUAAUCAGUUACUCUCACCAUUGCAUUACUCUAUAAAAUUUGAUUUUGAAAAAGAAAUAUCAACAAACAAAUUAAAAAUAAAGGAUGAAUAUAUUUAUCAUUUAUUGAAAAGUUGACUUAAAAAAACAUCAAAUAAGGGUAGAAUUGUAAACUUUCUUAAUUUUUUAAUGCAAGUGAAAUCUAAAAAGUGACAUAUAAAAAGGAACGAAGGGAGUAAUUAUUAUAUUUAAAGAGUGAUAUAGUAAAACUACCCUUCUAUCUAUAAUUUCUAAAGUGCAAAAUCAAUAAUGGACAACUAUUGUUGGACAGAGGAAGUACAUCAUAAUACUUAUUUGGCUUACUUUUCAUAAUUCAUAUUACAUAAAAUUACUAAGCAUGAAAGAAAAAAAUUCAUCUAACAUCCGGAGUGUUUUUGGAUACAAUCAAUAUAAUAAUGAAAGUUAACCAAAUUGCAUCUAAAAAUCUUCAAUAAAAAAAGAAUCUACACUUCUUAAACAUUCACUUUACAAUCUUCAAUUUCCCAUAUAUGAAAAGGGAUAAAAAUGAAUAUAUUUUUUCUCAUUUCAUCUCCAACUAACACCAUGAUAACUUCUCAAAUUUCUUCUUCAUUUCAACCCUUCUUGAAAAUGAACAACAACCCCCCAUCCACUAUCCCUUCCUCCACCAUGAAUCGUUUUCCACUUGAUAAUUCAUGUGAUGAUUUUGUUUCAAAAAAGAGAGAGAGUAAUACACACAUAUCAGAUAUUAUUUGAGGUGCGUUUUUUUAAAUUUAUAAGUGAUAGUUUAGAUGUGUUUCUCACAUUUUCAGUAGUUUAAUAUGUUAGGUACGUUUUAGACACUUCACUUUUUAAAUUUUGAAUUUUUUUACAGUUUCAUGUAGAUAUCAUUUAUUUUUAAAAAAAAGGAGUGUAACACACACACCGUCACUUAUUACAUGAGGUGUGUUUUUCAAAUGUAUGAGUGAUAGUUUAGGUGUGUUUCUCACACUUCUAGUAAUUUAGAUGAAACUCAAAAAAAGGAAAAAAAAUUUAGCUCAAAUAUGCCAUCCAACUUUGAGAAAAAGACUCAUUCUAUGUCAUCCAUUAAAAGUUUGUUUCAUCUAUGCAUGGAUAAGCCUUUUCUCAAACGCAAACAACAUAAAUGAACCAAAUAUUUAACUGAUGACAUAGAUAAGUCAUUUCUCAAAAUUUGAUGACAUAUUAAAGCUUUUUUCCAAAAGAAAUAUAACAAUUUAAAUAUAUUUUUGACACGACUAAUUUCCCCUUCCAAUUUUCUAACCUUUGGUUGUUCUCUAUCCCUUCUGACUGUUAUAUCAUUUACUUCUUGCAAUUUAUUUCAUUAUAUUUUCAUUAUCAGGGACAAAUAAUUUCGUCAUUUAUAAAUUAUAUUUCGUCACUAAAAAACUUGUGAGACGAAAAAUAAUUCGUCACUCAGUCGUCACUAAAUGCGUGUCUCUAAAAGUAUACAAAGACGAUUUAGUGCUUCGUCGCUAAAAGUAUUAUAUUAACUGCAAAAAGAAAAAUCGUCCCUAAAUGCUUUAACAUUUGUGACAAAUUUAUUUGUCGUAAAAAGUAUAUUUUUUUGUAGAUAAUAGUAUGUUUUGUCACUAAAAAUGUUAUUACUAUCGACAAAAUUAUAUCAUCGCUAAUUAUUUUACUUCAAUCAGUGACGAUAUCAAUUGUCUCUAAAGUUAUAUGCAUUUCGUAGUUGAACAAAAUCUAAUUUCGUCACUAAUGACUAUUUUAUAUACCAAAAAUUAUUUUGUUAUUAAAUGUAUUAAUUAGGGAAAAAAUUAUUAUUAUAAAAAGGAUAAUUUUCCUAUUAUCCUCCACCAUCUCAAAUUUAUUUUAAACUCCUCCCUAGAAGCUCCCACAUUAUGCUUUCUUGGGGAUUCGAACUCACAACCUUAAGGUUGGAAGUGAAGAGUGCUUACCAUCCGAUCAACUCUCUCUUGUCUCUCAUUUUUAAUUUAUUUUCUACUUCAUUCACUUUUUUCAAAUUUAACUUUUGUAGAUAUAAUAUAUUAUAUGAUUAUUUAUACACAUACACAAGUGCGUUAAUUUUACCACCCACAAUUCAUUCAAAUGUAGAUUAUAUUUUAAUUAAACUGUUAUAAUUUUUAACAUAUCUUUAAAUAUAUUCAGUACGAUUCUGUCAUUUUAUUCAGUUAUUUUUAUAAUUUUUAAAAAUUAUUUAGUACAUUUAUAAAUUUAUAUAAAAUUAAACUUUCGAUUUUAUUUAAAAAAUUGAAUAAUCGGGUUUCAAUUCGGUCCGUAAAUCAAUUGUUUUGAAAAAAAAACAUCGAUACCCAUAACUAUAAUACUUCAUCAUAAUAUAUUUGAAAUCCUAGGUUGUUGAAUCCUUUCAUUUUUUAGUUUAUUUCGAUUUUCACACUGAUGGAAAAGGUUAAUAGAAACUCAUGAAAUAUUUCGCACCUUUGCAAAGUCUAAGUUUGUAAGUCGAUGUUAUCUCUGUAUAAUUGAUCUAUGUGCGUUUGCUUUUUUAGUUUAUUUCGAUUUUCACACUGAUGGAAAAGGUUAAUAGAAACUCAUGAAAUAUUUCGCACCUUUGCAAAGUCUAAGUUUGUAAGUCGAUGUUAUCUCUGUAUAAUUGAUCUAUGUGCGUUUGCGGAAUUACUAUUAAAUAUCUACAUAUUUUUAGACAGAAGCAAAUAGAUCGACUUAGUCUAUGCAGUUUACCAAUCACAAAUCAAUAGACAUGCACCAAAAUUAGCACCAAGACUAGAGAAAUUAUUUUUUAAAAUCGUCUUUAUCGAUGAAAGUGUGUCAAAUAAAAAACAAAAGUGUUAAACCAACAAAUAUUAGUGAUCUAGUGGCAGAACCGUACCCCACUGACGAUACUUAUAACCUGGAUUGUAUUUUUGAAAUGAUGCAUUUUAUAAUUGUGUUAUUUAAGAAAAUUCAUGAAUUGAACUUUUUCAUUUUUACAAAAUGGACCGAAUUCGUUGGUUUUAAUAUUUUCCCUCGCCAAUUAAUGAAAGGACUAUGUCUAUUUCUUAUGAAGCACUUAUAUUAUUCUUUUUGUAAGCUGUCACUUGUAAUUAUGAACAAUUGUAGCAAAAAAUAAAUUGUAUUUAGCUAUGAAUUUUUUUCGUAGCAAAUAGUUGAAUUAUUCACUACAAAUUUUAAGUCGUCGCUAUUUAACACCUUACAUAUAUUGUGACAAGUUUUUUGUUGUCACUAAAUCACAAAUUGAUUAGAGACAAUAAAAUCUUUGUCACCAAUUAUUUAUUCUAUUAGUGACAAAAAUAAAUAUCAUAAUUAAAGCUAAAUUCUUAUAGCUAAAACUUAUAAUAUUUAACUACGAACUCUAAUUUGUCGAUAUUGUAACAAUAUAUUUUUUUAGAUGAAAUUUUUUUGGAUCCAAAAAUCAAUAGAUUUUUAGACAAAAAAUAUUUUUUCAUGAAUUAGAUACAUUAUUAGUGACGAAAUAACGUGCCACCGAUAACUUUAAAUUCGUGACUAACACUACUUAACAAAUGGCGCCAAUUAAUUUUUUGGUGGGAAACUUUAGUAGGCGAAACUUUGCUACGGAUUUAUAUGUUUAGUCACUAAAAGUAUGUGUCUCAUAUAUUUAAGCACGAAAAGUAAAUUUUGUGUCAUUAAAAGCGAACAAUUAGUGACAAAUUUGAUGUCGUAGCUAAUAAUUUCGUAGCUAUAUAUCAUAUUUGUUGUAGUGAUUAAUUAUUCUGGGAUUAGUUAUCCUAGGAUAACUUAUCCCACCAUGUAUAUGGGAUAACUUAUCCCAUCACUAUGGUAUAAAUGGUGGGAUAAGUUAUCCCAAACAUGACAACCAAACAAGACACCAAAUUUAUCCCGAGACUAUUUUUUUAUCCCAAGACUAUUUAUUCUUAUCCCUCACACCAAACGACUCCGUUUUCUAUCAUAUAUUUUUAUUACAAAAUUCAUGCAUCAACUAUCCAUGGUCUUCUUUGUCUUCCUAAAUUAUCACUCUCUUUGUAUUUAAACACACUCCAAUGUUGAGUUGAUGAAAUAUUUGUUUCCACUCAAUAAUAAGCGUGUGCAAGGUGUGUUUUAAUACAAAGAAAGUGAUAGUUAAGGUAUGAUAUUUAUAAAAAAUGUGAUAAUUUAAGUAUAGAUAAAUAGAACAAUGAAUAAUUAAGGUAUGAAACUCGAAAAAAAUAUAUCGACCAUUAGUGAAUAUGCACUUCUUACUAUGAAGUUUUGUGAAUAUAAAUAGAUGACUACUAUAUGCAAGCUAAGCGUGAUAGAAUAAAUUAAAUCAGCAAACUCAUAGACAAAUGCCACCUUUGAAAAUUGGUCUUAGUAAUGGUAGAAAAUACUCCCAUUUGAUUUUUGACCAUCCAUGUCAAUAAAAAUAAUAUUUAAAAAAAAUAUAAAAUCACACAUGAAAGUGAUGGUGAAAUUACUCUCUUUAUUUCAUUUUUACUUGUGACAGUUUGACUUAACACACUCAUUAAAAAAAUAAUUAUUGAUAUAGAUAUUUUAUCAAACUAUCCAUAUUAAAAAAUGAUGUCUUGGAAAAUAAGUAUUAGAUGUUGAGGAUAAAACAUGAAAAAAUAAAUUGUAUUUUCUUAAUAUGUCAAAAGUGACAAGUAAAAAUCAAAAUCUAUUUUAGGAAUAAGUGACAGUAAAAGUGAAUGGAUGGAGUAUAAGACCACAUAAUACAAUUAAAAAAUAAAAUGAAGAAAAUAAAAAAAAUUCAGGUUGAGGCGCAGAUAUCUCGUUCUCUUUAUGGAGAUUCAAGACCAUUGCAAUAAAUGUUUUUCAUCGGUUGGUCCAACAGUAUUCCUCUUUACUUGUCCCCUCCAGAAUACAACAGCUUAAGUAUAACUCACAACAAACUCUGGCCAAGACUUUAAUUGAAAGCUCCACAAAAAGAACACAUCUCUUCAAUUAAUACGAACUCUUUUUUUUUUUGACUAAUUUUUAUGCAUUCUUUAUUUUCUUGUACUAAAAAACAAUGAAAGACCACUACUAUUUAUAGUUAAGAAAUUCUUCCUUACAAUGAGUAAGAAGACAACAGAGUACUCCCUCUGUCCCUAAUUACUUGUCCAUUUUUCCUUUUAUAGUUGUCCCUUAUUACUUGUCCAUUUUGAUAAAUCAAGAAAAGACAAUUUUUUUUUACCUAUUAUACCCUCAAUUAAUUACUUUGAAAAAGGUAGAACUUUUUGAAAAUCUUAAAUUUUUAAUUCAUCCACUUCAUAAUUAAUAGGGGUAAAAUGGUAAACUCACUAUGUCAAUAAUUGUUUUCUUAAUAGGUGUGUCAAUUUAAAAGUGGACAAGUAAUUAGGGACAUAGGAAAUAGUAAAUAAGGAUGAUAAAUGAUUUAGAGGUUACAUAAGUUAUUCUUUUCCAUCAAGUAAUGAUUAAUUAAGCCCAACAAACAAAAGAUGAAAUGCACCAUAAAGGAAAAAUAGUAUACCCUCCAUCUCAUAUUAGAUAGUUACUUUCUAUUUUACACUAUAAUUAAGAAAUUAUUAAUAGAGUAAUUAACUUUACUAUUUUACCCUUUGUUCAUAUUAAUUAGCUUCUUGAAAAAAAUAGGAAAUUUUGAAUCUUCAAAAUUUGUUUAUACUUCCGAAGGUCAUAUUAAUUGUAAGGGUAAAAUGGGAAAACCCUGAUUAAUUUUAUCAUGAUUUAGUAAAUGAUCAAGUAAUACUGACAAAUAUUUUAAAUAAAAAUGUACAUCUAAGACAAUGCAUAUGAUGCAUAUUUUUUAUUAAUAUUUAAAUAUUGCUAAAAAUCAACAAAAGUGAUAUGUUAGUAGAAAAGAAUAGGGUUCAGAGGAGACUGAAGAGGUCACAAGUUACCACUACUAUAUAAGUGGUUGACAAAUCAAUCAUCAGAGGUGAAUUAUAUUAAGUUUUAAGGAUUUUGUGGUCUUUAUAGACGACGAGAAUAGUUUAGAUUUUCAAAAUUCACAGAGAAUAAAUUAAAAUUAUCUCUAAUUUUUAAAUUUUGAAUGGAUAGAAGUUGAGAUCUUAAUCUGAUUCAUCUAUAAUAGUGGUAUUUGAAUAUAUUACUGUGAUACAAGAAAUCGUGAUUCAUGUUAUUUGCUAAUGAUAUUAAAGUUAUGGAGAAGCACACUAGAGAGUAAUAUUUAAGAAAGAAUAUGUAGAAGAAGUAAUAUUGACUAUAUAUAAAUUGCAAGUUUAGUCAGCACACGAACAAUAAAGCUAAUGUGACGUACGAUAAAUACAAAUAUUCUAAUAUUUAAUUGCAUGAUUGAAAUAAAUAAAAAACAUUUUAUCUAGGUAGUUAGGUGUUAUUUGAAUAAAAGAAUGAAAAUUAAAGACCGAGUCCACUUGCCUAAUUAUAUAAAGUCAUUGUUUUUAUUUCAUCAUCUGGUGUUCAAAACUCAUACUAGAGCUCUAACUAAAUUUGAAUCACGUACUGUAGGACUUAUUCAGGGUGACACUCCCAACAUAAUUUUCUCCAAAUUCAAGGCUCGAACUCGAAAUAUCUGGGUAAUGAUGGAGCAAUCCCAUCAAGGCAUGGUUUAUUCCCAACAAAGCUGGAAAGUGAUCAUUUUGUGUAACAAAUUGCCAUAUUAUAUAAUAACCUAUUGCCCAAUUGCCUUUUUGUCAACUUAUGAUGAAAAUGUUGCAUUACCAAUUUUGUUAUUUAAUUUUCAUUUUCUGAUACAUAUAAAAAGAGCAAAACUUGACAAUUUCAAGUUUGACAUUGUCUACUCUCCAGCUUAUUGCUUAGUAGUAUGAUUUAUAGAUUGAUCAGAUAAAAUUAUUAGUCUAGAAAAGUUUUUCCAUAUACAUAAAAUAAAGAUGUAGAGUUUAGUAAUUUUAGGAGGAAUUUGAAGUAUUUUAGAGUUUUAUAAAUGGAAGACCAUUUAGGAUGAACUCAAAGAUUUUUCAAGAUAAAUCUAAAGAAUCAUAUGGGACUUUUUGAUCUUAGUCUUAUAAAUUUUAUCAUAGAUGACUUAAUUUAGUUUUCUUUUACAGAUGCAAAAAAUAAAUCACAGUAUAAUCGCAAUAAUUGUAGUUUUAAAUUUUUUAUUUUUUUCAUUCACAUUUUUUGUUUUAUUUCUCAUAUUUUUACUUUAAAAAUGAAAGAAAAAUAAAAAAUUCAAAUAAUGAUAAGAGAAUGGAUCUAUAAGGGAGAUAUUUAAAAUUUAAAUUAGUCAUUGAAUUAAAGAAGUAAAUAAAUCAUAUAUGAGAAAGAUCAAGUAUACUCUAAACUCUGCUAGACGGAUCAUAUAUAUCUAUAUAUAAUUUUUUAAAAAUAAAAAAUCAAAAAAUAAAUUCAAAAUCAAUGUUUUUUCAUUUUCAUUAGAUGAAAAAUGUAUAUGUGAGUCACUUUUAUAAUGGUAAUAUAUAUGAAUAACUUUUAUAACGAAGAAUAUAUCAACUUUAAAUCAUAAAAUUGAAGGGUAUAACGUACGAUUUUUCUAUUACUCCCUACGUCUAUCGUUAUUUGUCCAAUAUACUAAAAAUAGUUGUCCAACUUUACUUAUUCAGAAAAACUAAGAGAUAAUUAUCAAUUUAUGUCUAUUUUACCUUUCCUUUCUAUUAAAUACUAUUUAUUUUUUAAUAUUUAAAUAAUUUAUAAUUAAUAAAAAUAAUAUAACAAAACUACUAAUCUAUUUGUGGAGUUCUUCUUAAGAAAUAUAUCAAAUUAAUAAUUAUUUUCAAAAAUAAAAUCUGAGUAUGACCGGUAAACGUUAUUUCUACUAGCUAUUUCUGGCACUUCAUUAUCUUUUCUAAGUUUCAUAUAAACAAAAGUUUCACUUAAAAAGUUCCAACAUAUCUAAAACAAAUAACACACACACAAAAAGGCUUUAAUACUGGUUGAAAAUAGUUCAAACCUGAUCCAAAAAUCCCAUUGAUAGGUCAAUAUGAUGAAACUAUCUAUCCAUGGGAAACAAUAAUGCUAAAAAUGAACAAUGUUUUUAUUUUAUUUUAUAUAUGAAACAGAAAUGGUAAUAAAAUGAGAUAUGGGCAUAGUUCAAUGAUGAGAGUGAUGUUCAACUAAUAAAAAACAGAGAUGAUAAGAAAAUGACAAAAAAAAUACAACUGAUAUAAACUGUCAAUUAAUGUAAUAAAUGUUGUAAAUCAUUUUGGUGGUUAAAUGGAUAACCAUAACUCCUUGGUUAAUUUCCCUCCUUUAUGAGUAGUAAUAUUGUUGAUAAUGUGGUCAAAUGGAUGACCAUAACUCCUAGGUUAAUUUCAUCCUUUAUUGGUAGUAAUGUUGUUGAUAAUAUGGUUAAUUGAAUGACCAUAACUCCUAGGUUUAUUUCCUCCUUAAUGGAUAGUAAUUCUCAAGGUUUAAUGUAAUGUUUAUGACACCAUUUGGUAUUUCUCAAUGUAAUCCUAUAAAUAGUGGUGUUGAAAAUAAUGUUGAAGACACUUGAAAGAAAGAAUAUUAGUUUAUAUUGUUCCUCUUGUCUUAUAGUCUUCUUCUCUUCCUCUUUAUAUUGUUCUUUUGUUCUUAAAUUUUAUAACACGUUAUUAGCACGAAACUCUAAUAUCAUUUCAAUUUUUCCAAGUUAAGCUUCUGGUAUGUCUUCAUAUACUUAAUUCUCAUUAUUAAUCACUCUAAUAUAAUAUACUACAUAUUAUGAAAUGGUUAGGUGUUAAACAGUGUGUGUAUAUUUUUGGUAGUUAAACAAUGGAAUAUAUAUAAGUCCAAAAAGUUUAUGUUCUCGCCUAAUCAUCAAGUGAAUUAUGCUAUUUUAAAUUAGUUAAAUUUUAAUUUUGUCUAGCAAUUUUGCUAGAAAUUAUUUAAGUUAUAUGUUAGGCAGAAUGUUCAUUUAAAUUGCUCGGAAGUUUGAUACUAACACAUUAAUUUACUAAUUGAUGUUACUUUGUACAAUAACAUGUGUCACGUUAUUAUCAUGGAUAAAAAAAAAGUUUUAUUAAUUACUUAUGUACUCACUAUUUAUUUUAGUCUAAUUUAAUUAUUUUCUAUGAUAGUUUUAUCAUGUCGAAUUUAUCAAAGCUUGAGUUCGUGGCAUUUGACAUUUCUGGAAAUAAUUACUUGUCAUGGGUACUCGACGCUGGAAUUCACCUUGACGCUAAAGGUCUUGGUGCUACUAUUACCAAUGGUAAUACGACGUCGAGUCAAGACAAAGCAAAGGCAAUGAUUUUCCUUCGUCAUCAUCUGGAUGAAGGAUUGAAGGUUGAAUACCUUACGGUGAAAGAUCCACUUGAAUUGUGGACUGGUUUGAAGGAAAGGUAUGACCACCUUAAGGUAACGGUAUUGCCAAUGGCUCGUUAUGAAUGGAUUCACUUACGGUUACAAGAUUUUAAAACUAUAUGUGAAUAUAAUUCUGCUAUAUACAAAAUUGCUUCCCAAUUGAAAUUAUGUGGGGAAGAUAUAAAAGAUGAGGAUAUGUUGGAAAAGACUCUCACAACUUUUCAUGCCUCAAAUUUGGUAUUACAGCAACAAUACUGUGAAAGGGGAUUCAAAAAGUAUUCUGAGUUGAUCUCCUGCCUUCUUGUGGCUGAGCAACAUAAUACUCUUUUAUUGAAAAACCAUGAGGCUCUUCCCACGGGAACUGCUCCGUUACCGGAAGCAAAUGAGGUUGAAGCACAUGGCCAGUCUGAGAGAAGACAAAAUAAAAACCAGGGUCAAAAUAAUGUGCGCGGACGUGGCAAUGGCAGGGGACGAUAUAAUAAUCGUCGUGGUGGUGGUCGCCACAAAAGGGAGAACAAUAUGGGUUCUCAAAGCAAUCCUUCAAGAGGCAAUUGUCAUCGUUGUGGCAUGAAAGGGCAUUGGAAGAAUGAAUGCCGAGCAACUGAGCAUUUUGUUAGGCUUUAUCAAGAUUCCUUUAAAAGAAAAGGAAAUAAAAAUGGUACAUCUUCUUCUAAUGCGCGGGUGGAGUCACACUUGACUUAUAAAAAUGAUGCCGNNNNNNNNNNNNNNNNNNNNNNNNNNNNNNNNNNNNNNNNNNNNNNNNNNNNNNNNNNNNNNNNNNNNNNNNNNNNNNNNNNNNNNNNNNNNNNNNNNNNAUGAGCCUCCUCACAUUAGGUUUUCGAUAAAAAAAAAAUAAUGAGAUAAUUUACAACCACGCAAAUGUACAUAAUUUAUUAUAAAAAAAAAUAAUUUAACCAUUGAAAUAACACGAUUUAAAAUUAAUCAAUAUUAAUAAUAUUUAUCAAGAAUUUAUUGUACACGUAAUAAUAUAAUUUACUACCACACUAAUAUAUAUAACUUAUUUUAAAUGAAAAAAAUUAAUUUACUUUAAAAAAUUAUAAAUAAAUAUUGGAUUCGUACAUCACAUGAAUUUCCCCUUACUAGUUUAUUACAAUAUAAAGAAGUAGGCUGCCAAAGGUGGACCUUAUCUUUGUCAUUAAAAUAAUGGUAACUCAACUCUAUAAAUAGCCUAGAAUGAUGUAGCUCUUCUUGUACUCCACUAUAUUUUCCCUAGUAAGCAAUACUCUUGAUCCCUAGCUCAUUUAUAGUUCCAAAGGCAUGGGUCUAAAGUCCAAAUUGUGUGCCCAAAUAGAAGUGAAGGCUAAGAAUGAUGUGUUUCAUGAUGCCUUUAGGCACAAACCACAUCAUGUAUCCACCAUGUGCCCUGUCCAUAUACAAGGUUGUGAGUGUCUUGAAGGAGACUUUGGAACUGUUGGCUCCAAAAUUUGUUGGAAGUAUACCCAUGGUAAGCCCAUUUUUGUAAAAAUUAUUAAGAAUUUUGAUUUUUUUGAAAAAUUUACUGACAAAUUUAAGGUGUUUCAUUCGUUUAUAUAUUAAGCAUAUACUUAAUUAAGCAAGGAUGAGGACCAUGUUGCGCCGAGAUCAAACUUUAAGAGACAAACACUAUCGUCUCUUUAUUAAGAUCUAUCGUGUAUAAUUAUUAAGAAUGUUAAAAACCUUAGAAGAUCACUAUUAAUAUAGAUUAAUCUUUUAACGAUAGCAACAAACUUCAUACAAUUAUUUCUUUACAAUAUAUGUGCAAGUCCAUAAAAAAUUCUAACAGAUCAUUCGUUUAAUUUACUACAAGUGUAUAACUUGCCUUGUCAUUGUGUUAGUAAUUUGAAAUGACAAUCGUAUUAAUUUACUACUAUUUAUGAGUUUGAUGUACGUAACGAAAUUUUGUAUAAUCCAGAUGGGAAAGAGAAGUUUUCGAAGCAGAUAAUUGAAGCUAUAGAUGAAGAGAAAAAGAUAAUCACAUUCAAGGAAUUUGAAGGAGAUAUAGUGAAUGAAUAUGAGAAGUGGAAGGUAAGUCUCCAUGUUGAUGAAGAAGGUGUAAAGGAUUUAGUCGGUUGGACUAUGGAAUAUGAAAGGCCAAAUGAGAAUGUCCCUGAGCUAACAAAUUUGCUUCAAUUUUUCAUUGAUAUGACCAAAUCUAUUGAUGAUCACCAUGUCAACAAGCCAAAUUGAUAAUAUAAAUUAGAACUAUAUGAGUUUGUGCUUUAAUUAAAUAAACACUUGACAUUAUGUUAUAUAAUAUAAUAUAUAUAAUAUGAGAGAAUGUCAAGUAAUUUGUAUUUUUUUUCUUUUCUAAGUAAUAAUAAAGACAUUUUAGUUUUGCGCACACAUUUUCUAUAUGUUCUCACUCUACUUAAAGAGAAAUUUCAAUUUUGAAUUGGUUACUUGUGAUUAUAUUUUGGUAGUCUGAUGAAGUUGAGAAGAAAUGACAAAAUACAAAUUGAUUUUGGUUAAUUGUUGACAUAAUUGUAUUCGUCGAUGCAAAUUGUAUUCUUUAAUUGACAUAAUGUCAUCCUUUUUAGGUAAGAGAGUAACAAAAGUAAACAUUAAAGCUCUUGAGAAAAUGUUCCUGAUGAUGGAACUAGUUCACGACAUUUAGAAAUUCCUGACAAACUAUACUCCAACAUUUUUGCUAGAAGCACAUAGUAAGCCCGUCUAGCCUGGGGGCUUUGUACCCCUCACUCGUUAGUUCACUAAGAUUUCUUCUUCUAAGAAUGGUUGCAUCAAAGCUGAAUUGUCUUCAUGAGAGAUAACCAGAUGACUCCUCAUAAGUUGGUUCUCAUAGGCCUACAGUCGCUCGAGUCAAUGCAGACAUAGCUAAGAAUAAAACAUGAUGAGUGUAAUUGAUUUGUAAUGAAUACGACCUUUGUGGCAGAAAAAUAAACAAACAGGAUGAGUAUAAAUGAUCCAUAUCGGUGAUACCAACUGGCUGGGAUUAAGUGUUAAUUGUUAUUGGUACACUUGCUAGGUUGGGGAAAGCGGAAGUUUAGAGAAUUCCAACUUUCUAGAGCCCAUAGUUUACGGCAAAUUACUUAUACGUAUUUGAAUGAAGUGGGCCGAAUGAAGCAGAAUUGAUAGAGGAUUCGUAUCUCCUUCUCCAAUUUGGGAUUAAGGUGUAGUUGAUUGCUAAGUUGCUCGGACUCGGGUCCGGGUGUUGGAAGGAAAGAAAUUCACGGAUUCUGUAGAGCAAAUUUGAAUCCGUAAUUAGUAUUAAGUACAAAUGCAUCUCCUUACUAUUUUUUGGUGCAAUAUAGAUUUCUUGAGUUAAUUGCACAUUCAAAAGUGAUGUUGACCUGUAAAUAUCUUUAAAACACCUUCUGGUUGUGGACUUCUAAUGCAAAUAUCUUUUACUUAUAAAAAAACUAUGCCUAAAUUAUGAUUUCACCCUAGCUUUUGUGUUUUGAUUUCAGAAAUUUUUGUAUCUGUCUCGAAUUUCUCAAUUGAUUUUGGUCAAAGUACUCGAAAUCGACUGACCAUAUUCGGUAUAGAUCCCACACCCACACCCACACCCAUGUUGUGUUGAUACGAGUGCGGCACCGAAAGUGAAGAGGUCGUGCAACUUAGGAUGGUUGAUAUGUUGAAGGGCACAGGUAUUAAAGUGAGAGUUCAAGUUUUCGUAAUGUUUAAAUAGGAGUGAGUCAUAAGGUGAGAGAAGCUUACCUUCAGAAUAGUUUACACCACCUUUAAUGCAGAAGUGGAUGCAAUGGUCCCUUUUUGAGUAACUUUUCUUCUCUUUAAGGAAAAUCAAUGCUAUUAUAAGACAACCAAAAGUGGAUUGUGAGAUCUUAGAAUUAAACUGGGAAAAGGGAGUAGUAUUUUGUAUAUUGCAUGGGUCAUGAGGUCAAGUUCUUCUUGUCAACCAUCUAUAUACCAUAUAAAAUUCGUUUGAAUUUAAUGAUAGCUCUGGACAUUAUGAUAGUCCACUGAUGGUCAGAUUGAUAUUGGUAUUAUGAGCCAGAACAUUUUCUCCUAAGUUCUAUCAUUUGACUACGGUGUUUCAAGUUGGCCAAUAAAUACUAUGUGAUGCUGUCAUAAACCUUCCUUUCAUCAUCUUUUCUGAAUCUAUGGUUGUGAGAAACGCUAUAUUGAACAACUGGGAAGGAUCACUUGUUAGCAUAAAAACGCUGUACUUUUUGUAGUCGCCUCCUCUAUUAUGUCUUUCUUCAGUAUUUGGUUGCAUCCAGGUUUAGGAGAAUUAAGAUGAAUUUCCACCAAGAUGGGUGAAGAAUUCUGGGAGAAACCAUAUACUUAGCCCAGAUCGGUGAGGAAAUUAAUAAUCCUCUCAAUCGGGGAUGCAACUCCCAAAUACGGAAGAAAUAAGGAACUGAAAAUGCCUUCUUGAAAACUGUGGUAAUGGAAAUUCUGCAAUCUAGGAUCUAGAAAGCAAAAUAAUAGAGAUGAUUGUUAUUAGAAAUUAGAGUUCAUGCUAUGCAUUAAAGGUUACCUAUCUUCUUCAGUUAUUGCUUUCUUCGAGUUCAUGUUUACCCUUCUGAGUUAAAAAGUGUUUCACUUGAUAAAAAAUGCUAAAUUCGAUCAUAUCUGAUAUGGACAAAAUACUUAGAUGGACAGUGUCAGUUCUCAAUGAAACCUUACUGCAAGAGAUAUUCGUCCGGAUUAUGGUGGUAGUUUUAGACUGCUACUGUAGUGGACUUACGAACCUCUGUUUCUUUCUUUUGGCAGGAAGAGAAGGAACAAAAGAUCCGUGAAUUGACUGCCAAGUUAGAGAGUAUAAAUCAACAAUCGGAAGUUUAUCGUGCCAAUCUAUUAGCAGUUUUGAAAGACAUGGAGGAGGAGAAACUAAAGCUAUCUGUGAAAGUGCAAAAUGCACGGCUUAGCUUAAAGGAGUAAAUCCUUUCAUUCAUUUUUCUUGUUUCAAAUGAUUGUGAAUAGAGUAAAUCCUUUCAUUUAUUUUUCUUGUUUCAAAUGCUUGUGAAUUUAGUCCUCAUUUAUGAGAAGCAUGAAGAUGAAAUAUACAUGGCCAGAAUUCAGCUAGCAUAUUUUUCUUCACCUCCAGUGAUGUUGGCGGAUCUAGGAUUUUCAUUAAGGAGGGUUCGACACGAUGAAUUUUGAAGCCCUUCAACCAAUUAAUCAACCUUUAAUCUUAUGUUCUGGAGGUUCAAAAUCUAUGUAUAUACUUUUUUUAAAAUGUCUUAUAUAUUGUGUAUUUUUUUGCCGAGGGGGGUCGAGGGAACCCUCUCGCUACUACCCUCUAGAUCCGCCAAUGCUAAUCAUGUGUGCAUUAAGCAUAACAUUGUUAUUUCAUCUGCAUUUCUAGCUAUGUUGUUCGGACUUUUCAAAAAUGUAAUCUAGUGUGUGUUGGAUACUCCGAAAGUAGUAUAGUGCAUUUUGGAGAACCUGAUAUGGGUGCGGCAACAAUUUCGGAGAGUCCAAGCAACAUAGAUUACUUCUUGCAACCUUUUCCAAGAUGAAAAUUUGACAGUAUCCAUCCAAUCUAUUUCUUGUACAUUGCUUUGAUAUCUGAUUAUGAGCUAUGCAAAAUCUACUCAGAUAAUUUUUCAAUAGACUGAGCAUUUAGAAUCACUAAUAUCACACAUUUACUAUCAUUCUAAUCAUAAUUAGUAAAGUUAAAGUGUUAAAAAUAUACUUAAACUAUUAUAUUUUUUUGAGUUUCAUAUGUCAACUAUUGAGAGUGUGAGAAAUAUACUUAACAUAUCACUCAUUAGUUUGAGAAACAUAUCUCAAUAUUGGCUGACAUGAAUUUUCGUUCAUGUUUUUUUUUGCUUACAUGUGUUUUUAAAAGCGAAUUGUUAAAAGUACACCUAAAUCAUCUUUUUUUUUAGUUUCAUACCCUAAAUUAUCAUUCAUAAAUUUGAGAAACACACAUGAAGUAAUUACACUAUCUUUUUUUUAAAAAAACUUGUCACAUGAAAAAAAAAAUACUCCCUCCGUCCAACAAUAGUUGUCCACUAUACUACUCCCUCCAUCCCAUUUUAUAUGUCAUCUCUUUUUAUAAAUAGUUGGACCACAAAACUUGUCAUUUUAUAAAUUUAUGCAUAAAUUACCAUAUUUCCCUAUUAUACCCUUGAUAGAAUAGUUAAUUAAUCUUGAAAAUGUAUUCAUCCUUUAUUAUAAAGUUGACUUAAGAAAACAUUAAAUAAUGGAAGAAGGGUAAAGUUACAUCAUUUCUUAAUGCAAGUGCAAAGUAAAAAUGUGACAUAUAAAAUGGGACGGAGGGAGUAUUUUGGAAUGUCCAACAUUACUUGUUCACUUUAUGAAAUUAAUGGAUAAUUUUACUCUUAGUUCCUAAUUUAUACUUAUCAUUAAUUAUAUUUAUUUCUUUAUUACAUUUUCAAGGCAUUAUACUCUCUCUGUUCCUUUUUAUAUGUCAUCCUUACUAUAAAUUGUUGGUUCACAAUACUUGUCAUUUCAUAAGGAGAAAAUACAUGAAGUCCCCAUUGAACUUAGACCUUAUUUUGAAGUAGAGACUUAAAUUUGCAGAAGUCCUAUUAUCACAUUAAAUUAAUUUUGAUCAGACUAAAUAUGCCAUUUUGACCCGCUUCCGCAUCUGUUGUGUUUUAACAUUUUCAGGGCGCGUGAGUGUUUUAAAAAACAACCCCAAACCAAUAUAAAGCAGUCAUGUGGCAUAGUAAAUUGAAUUCUUUAUUUUUUUAAAAAGACCCAUCUUCCCCAAAAUUAAUUCAAACACCAUUGACAGCCAUUGAAGCUUGCUACAGUGUCAUGGCGAGUAAGGACUGCAAUAUCUAUCUAACUUUGAUUCACUUUCGCAAGAUGAGUACUACAUUAAUUCAUCAACAACCUUCGAAUUUCUGACUUUUCAAUAAAACCCAUUUUCAAAAAGAGGAUACCACACACAAAUGCUAACUUUUCCUUAGUCCACUCAUCUUCAUUCAGUACUUUAUAUAUUAUUCAAAAAUUGAAGAAAAAACUACCCAAAAACGCAGACUAAACACACAAAAAGCAAAAAAUAAAUAAAAAUAAUUAACCUCAAAAAUAUUUAUUGUUCAUACUCCACUAGAUUCUCUCAAAUCAUCCUCACUAACCGAUACAAAUAAAUUAAAACUCAUCAAUUUAAAUUUGAUGUAAGAAUUGAAACAGCCCAAAGAAUGAAAAGUGCAUCAAUCUUACUUCAGAUCAUUCAAUAUCACAAUUUCGGGAAGAAAAGAUAAUUAAAAAAAAUUGAUUAGGAGGAAGUGUCAAAAUGUGAGCGGGUCAAGGUAAAAACCCGGCCUUCAUAAAAAAACAGGUUGAAAAAUAUAAAUAAUUGUAUUAUUUUAUCAGGAGUGAGAGACACGCGUGGAGAAUUGGAGUAGAAAUGGCUAAAAAGAACGUAUUUAGUUUGGUUGAAAAUGGUUUAGUGGGGUAAUAGGACUCCCGCAAAUUUUGAGUGUCUACUUCAAAAUAAGGUUUAAGUUUAAUGGAGACUUUAUGUAUUUUCUCUUUCAUAAGAUCAAUGCAUAAAUUAUAAUAUUUUUCUUAUUAUACCCUUGAUAGUUAAUUAGUCUUGAAAAUAGAUAUUUGACCAACCUAGGAAAAUUAAUAAGUAAUUAAUGUUCAUUGUAAUUACUUCAUGCAUUGAUUAAUUACUCUCACCAUUGCAUUACUCUAUAAAAUCUUAUUUUGAAAAAGAAAUCUCAACAAACAAAUUAAAAAUAAAAGAUGAAUUUAUUUAUCAUUUAUUGAAAAGUUGACUUCAAAAAAACAUUAAAUAAGGGUAGAAUUGUAAACUUUCUUAAAUUUUUAAUGCAAGUGAAAUCUAAAAAGGUGACAUAUAAAAAACAACGGAGGGAGUAUUUAAGAAAUGAUGUAACUUUACCUUUCUACCCUUAUUUAAUGUUUUCUUAAAUCAACUUUAUAAUAAAUGAUGAAUACAUUUUCAAGAUUAAUUAACUACUCUAUCAAGGGUAUAAUAGGCAAAAUAUGGUAAUUUAUGCAUAAAUUUUAUAAAAUGAAAAGUAUUGUGGUCCAGUUAUUUAUAGAAAAGGAUGACAUAUAAAAAGGGACAGAGAAAGUAUAUUUAAAGGGUGAUAUAGUAAAAUUAUCCUUCUAUUUAUAGUUUCUUAAGUGCAAAAUCAAUAGUGAACAACUAUUGUUAGAUCGAGGGAGUACCACAUGAUAAUACCUAUUUGGCUUACUUUUAAUAAUUCAUAUUACAUAAAAUUACUAAGUAUAAAAGAAAAAAAAUCAUCUAACAUCUGGAGUGUUUUGGGAUCACAAUCAAUAGAUUAAUGAAAGUUAAACAAAAUUGCAUCUAAAAUCUUCAAUAAAAAAAAAAUCUACACUUCUCCUUAAACAUUCACUUUACAAUCUUCAAUUUCCCAUAUAUGAAAAGGGAUUGAAAUGAAUAUUGUUUUUCUCAUUUCCUCUCCAACUAACACCAUGAUAGCUUCUCCAAUUUCUUCUUAAUUUCAACCCUUUUUGAGAAUGAACAACAACCCACCAUCCACUAUAUAUCCCUACCUCCACCAUGAAUUGUUUUCCACGUGAUAAUUCAUGUGAUGAAAUUUGUUUCAAAAAAGAGAGUGUAAUACACGCGCAUAUGAUGCAUAUUUUUAUUAUGAUCAAGUAAUACGGACAAAUAUUUUAAGUAAAAUGUACAUCUAAGACAAUGCAUAUGAUGCUUAUUUUUAUUAAUAUCAAUAUGCUAAAAACCAACAAAAAAUGAUAUGUUAGUAAAAAAAAGAAUAGGGUUCAAAGGAGACUGAAGAGGUCACAAGUUACCACUACUAUAUAAGUGGUUGGCAAAUCAAUCAUAGGAGGUGAAUUAUAUUAACUUUCAAGGAUUUUGUGGUCUUUAUAGACGAUACGAAUAGUUUAGGCAUCCAAAAUUCACAGAGAAUAAAUUAAAAUUGUCUCCAAUUUUUAAAUUUUGAAUGGAUAGAAGUUGAGAUCUUUAUCUAAUUCAUAUAUAAUAGUGGUGUUUGAAUAUAUUACUGUGAUACAAGAAAUCGUGAUACAUGUUAUUUGCUAAUGAUAUUAAAGUUAUGGAGAAGCACUCUAGAGAAUAAUAUUUAAGAAAGAAUAUGUAGAAGAAGUAAUAUUGACUAUAUGAAUUGUAAGUUUAGUCAGCACACGAAUAGUGAAUCUAAUGUGACGUACGAUAAAUACAAAUAAUUCUAAUAUUUAAUUGCAUGGUUGAAAUAAAAAAUAAAAUAAAAAACAUUUUAUCUAGGUAGUUGAGGAAAUAAAAGAACAAAUUUUGGGAAUUUUCCUUUCUCUGUAUAAACCUUGAGUGAGAACCAUCUGUACAGUAUACAUAUUUAUAUAAGCAAAAAGGAAUCUAGCUAUAACAAACUCCUACAGUUGUCGUCUUUCUAUUUGUUUAUGGCUAACAAACUAAGGGAUAAUUACAAGAAUAAAAGGAAAGAAAAUCUGUACAAAAAUAAGAAAGAGAAAUUAUCAGGUGGGCUGAAGAAUAAUUAGACCAAUUAUCUGAGGGAGGCCCAAGUUUGUGAAGCCCGAAGUUCAAACUUAUUUAGCCGCCUUGUAUUGUCUUCACUGUUGGACCUGGAUGUUUUUCAUAAUGUUCACCAUUGUCAACACUGGUUCCAAUACCCCUCCUCAAGUUGGAGGGGGAGGAAACAACACCCAACUUGCCCCAAUAGAGUGUGAUGAAGAGUGCCAGUCAAAGGUUUUGUGAAAAGGUUAGCCAAUUGAGAAGAGGAACGAACAAAAGAGAGGGAAAUCAGACCAGCUUGAAAUUGUUGACGCACAAAGUGACAAUCGAGUUCAACGUGUUUGGUGCGUUCGUGGAAAAUGGGAUUUUUCGCUAUAUGAAUAGCAGCUUGGCUAUCUGAAAAAAGAGGAAUAGGAAGCUCGAUAGGAAUUGUUAGAUCAGAGAACAAACGAACCAACCAAGUCAAUUCACCCACAACCCGUCUCAUGGAGCGAUAUUCAGCCUCAGCAGAACUGAGGGAAAUGGAGGUCUGUUUCUUGGACUUCCAAGAAAUUGGAGAAGAACCCAGGGAAAUGUAGAAACCACUCACUGACUUGCGCGAAUUGGGACAAGAUGCCUAAUCAGCGUCGCAAAAGGCUAAUAAUUUGAAGUCAGGAGUAGAAGACAUGAAUAAACCUAGACUAGGGUCGCGAAGGAGAUAACGAAGAACUCGAAGAGCAGCUUGCAUGUGAGGAAGACGAGGAUCUUGCAUAAAUUGGCUUAAAUAUUGGACAGUGAAAGCCAAAUCUGGUCAUGUAUGGGUGAGAUAAUUUAGCUUACCCAAUAGAUGUCGAUAAAGCGUAGGAUCAGGAAUAGAAUCCCCUGUUUUGGCAAGAAGUUUGGUGAAGGGAUCAAGAGGUGAAGAAACAGGGGUAAGAUGUGAAGAAUGAAACUCCUCCGGUAAAUCCAGGGUGAAUUUUCGUUGGCUAAGAAUAAGACCAUGAGAUUCACGCAGGACCUCCAUGCCAAAGAAGUAAUGCAAACUGCCCAAAUCCUUAAUCCUGAAUUCAUUGUGCAAGAAAGCUUUGAGAUUGUUGAGCUCAUUCAUGUCAUUUCCCGUCAUUAAAAUGUCAUCGACAUAGAUGGCGACAAUAGAAACAGAGGAGUCUGUCUUUUUGUAAAACAGACAGUAGUCGUUGAGGGAGAGUGUAUAUCCCUUAAAAGUGAGAGCAGUGGUUAGUUUCGCACACCAUUGUCGAGAGGCUUGCCGAAGACCAUAAAGGGAUUUCUUUAAGAGACAAACAUGAUUGGAGGAGGGAGAAGUGACAACUGCUGGAAACAUCAUGUAAACUUCCUCCUCUAGAUCACCAUGUAAAAAAGCAUUGUCCACGUCUAAUUGAAAUAGACCCCAACUUUUCUUAAAUGUGAUGGACAGAAUACAUCUCACUGUGGUCAUUUUGACAACCGGUGAAAAUAUUUCAGUAAAAUCGAUCACUUCUCGUUGAAUAUCCCCUCGAAUCACCAAUCGUGCCUUCAAUCUUUCCACACUGCCAUCAGAAUGGUGUUUGACUUUGUAUACUCACUUAUUAGGUAGGGCUUUCUUUCCAGGAGGAAGCUCGACGACGUCCCAUGUGUUAUUCAAUUCAAGGGCUGUCAUUUUCUUGGCCAUGGCAUCCUGCCAUCCUGGGUGUAAAACUGCCUGAGUAUAGCUAAUAGGUUCGUGUAGAUGAGAAAGAGUAUUUAACAAAUGUUGGUUGGAAGAUGAUAGAGCAGUGAAAGAGAAGUGGGAAGGAGUGACAGGAGAAAGAAAGCAAGAAGCAGUGAGAUCAGUGAGUUGGAGGGCAUUACAAAUAUAGUCCUUCAAGUAAGAAGGUGCAGUGUGCGAUCUGGAAGAUUUUCGAAUGAGUGUAUCAAGCAUAGAAUCAGAAGAUGGAGCAGGGGAAAAUGUGAGGGGUUGUGAGAAGCUGAAGUAGGAGAAGAAGGGGUGUCCAAAGACACAGAUUUAGGGGAAGGAAUCGGAGGAUCAGUUAAAGGCAGAGUAGGAGUAAUAGAAGGAGGAACCUCAAGGGACUGAUCCAUGUGAUGUGGAGAAGAAAGUUGAGGCAAAAAAGGAAUCUGAAAUGUAGGCUUGAUGGAGGAAAAAUGGGAAAAUAGUUCAUGAAAGACGACGUCCCUUGAACGAAAGAUCUCAUAGUUUUGAGAUUAAGUAAUUUAUAUCCCUUUUUGCCAUGAGGAUACCCUAGGAAAACACAAGAGACGCUUCUUGGAUCAAACUUUGUCCUAUGAGUUGAUAAAGUAGAAGCAAAACAAAGACACCCAAAACUUUUCAAAUUGGUGUAAGUAGGCACAGUGUGAAAUAAUAACUCAUAAGGGGUUUUGUAGGAAAGAACCUUAGAAGGAAAUCGAUUGAUCAAGUAAGUUGUUGUUAAGAGACAAUCACCCCAAAAUUUUAUAGGCAAGUUAGACUGGAAAAGGAGGGCCCUGGAAGUUUCCAACAAGUGUUUUUGUUUUCUUUCAACAACGCCAUUUUGUUGUGGACAAGAGACACAAGUGGUUUGGUGGAUGAUGCCCUUGGCAGAAAAAUAUGCAGAAUGAACCUUUCCUGAUCCUAAUUCAAAAGCAUUGUCUAUCCUAAUGGUUUUUACUUUUACUUGAAUUGUCUUUCAACCAUGUUUAGGAAAGAUUUGAGAACUGUGAAAGCAUUGGAUUUGUUGGUCAAUAAAUGUGUCCAAGUACCUCGACUGAAAUCGUCGACUAUAGUGAGGAAGUAUUUGAAACCAUCAGACGUGUGAUGCUUAUAAGGACCCCAAGUAUCCAUAUGGAUUAAUUCAAAAACAGAUUUGGUGGAAAUGCAGCUAGAAGGAAAAGGAAGCUUAUGUUGCCUAGCCAUGGAACAUAUCUCACAAAGAACAAUAAAAUUGGAUUUAGAAGUUAUAGGAAUAGAGAAAAAAAAUUUCAUAUUGCUCAAAGGCAUGUGGCCUAAUCUGUAGUGCCACAAAUUUUCUUUUACAUUGGAAUUAAAAAGACUGAAACUAGAAACUAAAGCAGGAAGAGAGUUUAUAGCAUUACUCUUUCCUGUGACAAGAUUUUUGCGUAACUUAGUACUAGAUUUGGAAGGAAAAAUGGCAAGACUUGGCUUGGCAAUGUAAAGACCUCCUGCUGCUUUACCAAUCUCCAGAGGGCUCUUCAGUGAAGGGCCCUGCAAAAAACAAGAUGUAGAAGUGAAUAGAACAGAGUGAGAUAAUUGUUGAGACAAUUUAUUUACAGACAGAAGAUUGAAUCUGAAAGAUGGUAUAUAAAGAACAUGUUCAAGAACAAUAUUAGGAAAAAGGGAAACAGAUCCAUAGUGAGUGACUCGAACUUUGUGUGAAUUAGGAAGAGUGAUCAUAACAGAUCUAGGUAGAGGUUUCAAAUUAGAAAGAAAAGAUUUAUUAAAGGACAUAUGCUCAGAAGCACCACUGUCUAUAAUCCAAGAAUCAUCUGUAUGAGCAAAACAUGCAUAGAAGUUAAAGAAAUUAGCUAUACUAGCACAGUUGGCAGUCGUCAUAUCCUCAUAAAUAUUCCCCCCUUGCUUGAAUUGCUGAAGUAAAGACAAUAGAUGUCUUAUAUUCUCUUGUGUGAGGUUUAACGGAUCAGCUACAUUAGGCCUUGCCUGCUCAGGGUCAACUCUGCUACUUGCAAGAGCUGCAGUUUGAGUCAUUUUUCCUUUUGUGAACUUGAAAUCAGGAGGAAAUCCAUGGAUUUUGUAGCACUGGCUUAUGUUAUGCCCAACCUUCUUACAGUAGUUACAGAUGUAUGUGUUCUUCUUUGGAGUAUAAAUUCCCUUUUGUCCCUUAUAUUCACCAGACUUUCUGUUACCAGGUGGCUGAUUAGCUGCAGUGAAGAAAGCCGAGUCUGCAAGAUAAACAGGGGAUGAGUUGAUCUCCCUUUGCUUCUCAUCCUGCAUCACAAGAGAAUAGGCUUGUCCAAUAGAUGGUAAGGGAGAGGAUAUGAGAAUGUUGUUCCUUACGCCGAUGAAGAUUUCAUUCAAGCCCAUCAAGAAUUGAAGAAGUCUCUCAUCUUGAUGUGCUUUGAGAUUCUUGAUUUUAGCCCCACAUUCACAGUUGCAAAUGCAAGCAGAAAACGUGUUGAGAGCAUUAAGCUCAUCCCAGAGACUUUUCAUUUUAGUGAAAUACCCAGACACGCUAGAAUUACCUUGAACCAAAGCACCAAGCUCUUUUUGCAAUUGAAAAGCUUAGCCCAUUGGGUUGGCCAAACCUUUCCUCCAAAUCUUUCCAGAGGUCUUUAGCACUGUUAGAAUAAAGCACACUCUCAGCAAUUUCUUUUGAUAAAGAGUUGAGCAACCAUGAGAGCACCGUGUCAUUACAUCGUGCCCAAGAUUUCUGAAGUAUGGGAUCAGUGGGAACAAGCAAGGAUCCAUCAGUAAAUCCCAGCUUGUUUUUAGCAGAUAGAGCUAUGACAACAACUCUUCUCCACCCACCGUAACCCUUUCCAUCGAAAAUAGUUGAAACCGGGUUCAUACCUGGGUAAUCUGAAGGGUGAAUGUAGUAGGGAUGAGCAGCAUCAAGGGCACCAUUAUUUUGAGUGCUUGACACUGCCCCAAUUGUUGAAUCAGAAGAAACACUAGUGCUCAUCUUUUCAAAAAAAACAAGACUAAAGGAAAACGAAAAAUAAAGGAAUUGUUCUAGCAGAUUAAACCUGCUUUGAUACCAUGAGGAAAUAAAAGAACAAAUUUUGGGAAUUUUCCUUUCUUUGUAUAAAACUUAAAUGAGAACCAUCUGUACAGUAUACAUAUUUAUAUAAGCAAAAAGGAAUCUAGCUAUAACAAACUCCUACAGCUGUCGUCUUUCUAUUUGUUUAUGGCUAACAAACUAAGGGAUAAUUACAAUAAUAAAAGGAAAGAAAAUAUGUACAAAAAUAAGAAAGAGAAAUUAUUAGGUGGGCUGAAGAAUAAUUAGACCAAUUAUCUGAGGGAGGCCCAAGUUUGUGAAGCCCGAAGUUCAAACUUAUUUAGCGUGAGAACCAUCUGUAUAGUAUACAUAUUUAUAUAAGCAAAAAGGAAUCUAGCUAUAACAAACUCCUACAGCUGUCGUCUUUCUAUUUGUUUAUGGCUAACAAACUAAGGGAUAAUUACAAUAAUAAAAGGAAAGAAAAUAUGUACAAAAAUAAGAAAGAGAAAUUAUUAGGUGGGCUGAAGAAUAAUUAGACCAAUUAUCUGAGGGAGGCCCAAGUUUGUGAAGCCCGAAGUUCAAACUUAUUUAGCCGCCUUGUAUUGUCUUCACUGUUGGACCCGGAUGUUUUUCAUAAUGUUCACCAUUGUCAACACUGGUUCCAAUAGUAGUUAAGUGUUAUUUGAAUAAAAGAAUGUAUACCAAUUCAUAUUAAGGAUACCUAAAUUGUUGUCCAAUGUUGUACUCCACACUUAGCCAGGUGAAAAUUAAAGACCAACUCCACUUGCCUAGUCAUAUAAAGUCAUUGUUUUUUUUCUUCCUCUGGUGUUCAGAACUCAUAUUAGAGCUCUAACUAAAUUUGAAUCGCGUACUGUAGGAUUUAUUCAGAGUGACAUUCCCAACAUAAUUUUCUCCAUAUCCAAGAAACUCGAGACAUCUGGUUAAUGAUGGAGCAAUCCCACCACGGCAUGGUUUAUUCCCAACUAAGCUGGAAAGUGAUCAUUUUGUGUAACAAAUUGCCAUAUUAUAUAAUAACCUAUUGCCCAAUUGCCUUUUUGUCAACUAUUAAUGAAAAUGUUGCAUUACCAACUGUGUUAUUUAAUUAUUUUCAUUUUCUGAUACAUAUAAAAAGAGCAAAACUUGACAAUUUCAAGUUUGAUAGUGUCAACUCUCCAGCUUAUUGCUUAGUAGUAUGAUUUAUAGAUUGAUCAGAAAAAAUUAUUAGUCUAGAAAAGUUUCUAUAUACAUAAAAUAAAGAUGUAGAGUUUAGUAAUUUUAGGAGGAAUUUGGAGUAUUUUAGAGUUUUAUAAAUGAAAGACCAUUUAGGAUGAUCUCAAAGAUUUUUCAAGAUCAAUCUAAAGUAUCAUAUUGGACUUUUUGUUCUUAGUCUUAUAAAAUUUAUCAUAGAUGACUUAAUUUUUUAGUUUUUAUUUACAGAUACAAAAAAUAAAUUACAAUAUAAUCUCAAUAAUUGUAGUUUUAAAUUUUUUAUUUUUUUUCAUUCACAUUUUUUGUGUUUUAUUUCUCAUAUUUUUAUGCUAAAAAUGAAAGAAAAAUAAAAAAAUUCAAAUAAUGAUAAGAGAAUGGAUCUAUAAGGGAGAUAUUUAAAAUUUAAAUUCGUCAUUGAAUCAAAGAAGUAAAUAAAUCAUGUAUGAGAAAGAUCAAGUAUACUCUAAACUCUGCUGGAUACGGAUCAUAUAUAUAUCUAUAUAUAAUUUUUUUAAAAUCAAAAAUCAAAAAAUAAAUUCAAAGUCAAUGUUUUUUUCAUUUUCAUUAGAUGAAAAAAGUAUAUGUGAGUCACUUUUAUAAUUGUAAUAUAUAUGAAUAACUUUUAUAACGAAGAAUAUAUCAACUUUAAAUCAUAAAAUUGAAGGGUAUAUCAUACGAUUUUUCUAUUACUCCCUACGUCUAUCUUUAUUUGUCCAAUAUACUGAAAUAGUUAUUUAACUUGACUUAUUCAAAAAAACUAAGAGAUAAUUAUCAGUUUAUGUCUGUUUUACCUUUGCCCUUUCUAUUAAAUACUAUUUAUUUUUUAAUAUUUAAAUAAUUUAUUAUUAAUAAAAAUAUUAUAAUGAAGCUACUCAUCUAUUUGUGGAGUAAAGAAAUAUAUCAAAAUAAACACAAAUAAAUAAAAACAAACGUGGGAGUAUUAUAAUGCACUAUACCUACCUAGUUGAUAUUUAUGAGACUACUUGUAUUAGUUGUGUUGGUGGGAGCUGGCCGCUGGGGCAUUGAUUUCCAUAUAAGGGAUUCAUUAUCCCCAUAUAUAUGAUUGUAUAGGUGUUGGUCCGAAUUUAAUAUAUGUUAUUUUAUUUGUUUCAAUUUAUAUAACAUAAAUAAAAUUUGGAGAGUCAAUUAAUUUUUAUAUAAGUACUUUUAAAAAUAUUUCAAGUUAUUAUUUUUUGUGAUUCAUAUUACGUCAUUUUUUAAUAAUUAUAUUAUUUCUUUUAUUACAAUUUAUAUAACACAACUGAAAUUCUUAUAUAAUGUUUAAAUAUUUUCAAUUGUUAAUUAUUGUGAUUAACUAAUAGUAUCUUUUAUGUAAUUUUCAAAUAUUAUAUGUCAUUUUUAUUUGUUUCAAUUUUUAUUGCACUGAUAGCAUUUCAAGAAUCAACCAAAAAAAUUACUAUAUGUUUUUUAAAAAAUUAUAAUAAGUUGCUAAUUAUUAUUAUUUAUAAUACUUUUUAAGUAAUUUUUAAAUAUAUAAUAGAAUAUUUUAUGUUGUUAAUUAUUGUGACUUGUUGUAAUUUUAACGUAAUUUUUAAAUAUAUAACGUACCGUUAAGAGUUGUGUGCAUGUAGCCUCUUAUUAGAUAUUAAAAUAUUUUAAGUUGUUAAUUAUUAUGAUUUAUAGUACUUUUUACGUAAUUUUUAAAUACAUAACAAAUAUUUUAAAUUGUUAAUUAUUGUGAUUUGUAACACUUUCAAUGUAUUUUUUAAAUAUAUAUAACGAAUUAGGAAAAUUAAAACAAAUAAAUUAAAACAGAGAAAACUUAAUUUUUGGAGUGGGGUCCACCUUUAACUUAAAAGCACACAAUUUAAAUAGACAUGCCGUUCAAGAGCUAUGUACUUCCUUCGUCUCUUUUUAAUUAUCUUUUUAACAUUAAAAAAAAUUGUCCCAAAAUAAUUAUCACUUUAAAAAUUAAAAAUUAAAGUUAAUAAUUAUUUUAAUUAUAUCCUUUAGCAUUAAAGAAAUUAUUCUUUUUAACACUGGUCAUCAUUCAAAAAUAAGAAGUAGAAAUAAAGUAGUAAUAACUACACCUCGUAAGUUGUAUUUGUUAUAUAUAUAUAUAUAUAUUUUUAAUGGACGCGAAAAACAAGAGUAAAAACUAUGCCUAAAAUUAAUAAGAGGGAGUUGAGGUGAAGCAAGAUGUGUUUUCGUCGUCGUGUCUACUUUAUGUUUGUGCCUCAAUUUUCUUUUUGUUUCUCUAAAAAAAAAUUAUUUAUCUUUUUUAGAAAAAAUAAAUAAUUAGGCAUUUAGUGGUGUUUUUAAUUUUUAAAUUCAUAUCUUUUAGUUAUAACUUUAUUACUUUGAUUGUUGUUGAUAUUUGUGUGAAUUUUUGCAACUUCUUAGAGUAAAAAAACUCGUUCGAUGAAGAAUAAUACUUCAGUCAUGGAUAUCUCAAUGAGCCUCCUCAUGUUAGUUUUACGAGAAAAAAAGAGAUAAUUUGUGUAUAUAAUUUAUUGUAGAACAAAAAUUUCAAAUCAUUGAAAUAACUUGAUUUAAAAUUUAUUAAUAUUAAUAAUAUUUAUCAAGAAUUUAUUUUAUACUUGAUGAGAUAAUAUUAUACCACACAAAUAUAUAUAACUUAUUUUUAUGUAAGUUGGCAUAAUCUAUAAAUAGCCUAGAAUGAUGUAGCUCUUCUUGUACUCCACUAUAUUUUCCCUAGUAAGCAAUACUCUUGAUCCCUAGCUCAUUUUAUAGUUCCAAAGGCAUGGGUCUAAAGUCCAAAUUGUGUGCCCAAAUAGAAGUGAAGGCUAAGAAUGAUGUGUUUCAUGAUGCCUUUAGGCACAAAUAAGGUUGGCAACGGGACCGGAACCGGGACGGACCGGAACCGGAACGGAACCGGGCACCACGGGACGGAACCGAACCGGAAUCGGGACGGACCGAAACCGGUAAUUCCGGGAAAAAAUCCGUGUACCCGUUCUGGACCGGUAACAGACCAGUACCGGACCGGAAACCGGGUCCCAACUGUUACUUAUAAUUGGAAAAAAAAAAUAUUAAAAUUAAAAAAUUAGGAACAUUACACAAAUAAUAUUAAAACUCUUAUAAUUUUAUUAGAAGCAAAAAAAUUUAUACUUUUAAAGUUUUAAAUACAAACUUUCAAUCUUUAAAAGUAUAAAAGUUUAAAUUUCACAAUUUAAAACUUUGAAAUUUUAAAUUCAAACUUUAAAACUAUAAAACUAUAAAAGUUUGAAAAUUUAAAUUCAAACUUUAAAACUAUAAAACUAUAAAAGUUUGAAAAUUUAAAUUCAAACUUUAAAACUAUAAAACUAUAAAAGUUUGAAAAUUUAAAUUCAAACUUUAAAACUAUAAAACUAUAAAAGUUUGAAAAUUUAAAUUCAAACUUUAAAACUAUAAAACUAUAAAAGUUUGAAAAUUUAAAUUCAAACUUUAAAACUAUAAAACUAUAAAAGUUUAAAUUUCACACUUUAAAAGUUAAAUUUGAACUUUUGAAGACAAUAAUAAAAAAUAAUUAAGGCGAAUAGCCUAUACUUUUAUUAAUAUUAAUUAAAUAGUACAAGUUGAGUUACAAAAUAUUAGUAGAGUAUUAAAAAAUCUAAUCUACACAGCCACCUUCUAGGAAGUGUUCUGUUUGAAUUAGACCUUGAAUUAUUAUAUUUAUACUAAUAGACAUUUAAAUUUAAUAGUUCAUGCUACCAAGGAAAUCUUUUUUUAAAUCAUUUAACAUUUCUCUACUAACAUGCUCUGGAAUUGGUUGAUUAGCUAGUUCUUCCAUUGCAUCAAUGCCGUCAUCACUAAAAUCUUGCAUUAUUUCAUCAACGUCAUUUUCAAAUUUGGUCGGUAGAGGUGGACGACCAUAACUCCUUCUCUCGCCAUUAAUCCAAUCUCUAAAUAGUACGGAUAUCUCCAAGCUAUCUGCUGCUAAUGAAUAUCUAUGCUCUCCAUUUUGAAAUAUUGAUGCACUAAAAGCGCCUUCCGAAGCUACUGAAGAUGCUUGAAUAGCUAACACAUCUCGAGCAACCGGUUGAAGGUUUUUGGAAAUCCUUGGCCGCGAUUGCUCCACCAUUCUAGAAGAUCAAUAGUAGUAGGUUCUGUAUUUUGAUUAAUAUAUGCAUCAAAAUCAUUUCUAUCAUUAUGAGAAAGUUCAAUAAUACAAUCUAUCAUAUCAUCAAUAUCAUCUUCAUUAUUAUAUCUACUCCUAGAACUUUGAGGCUCUUCGUAAUGUACUACAUUCCUUAUAUUAGAAUUAUACAAGUCGUACAGUUUUCUAGCUUCAAUUUUUAUACUAUCUUUAACAUCUUGACAAUUAGGUGUUUCAUCAUCUUCACUAUCAAUACCAAAUUAAAAUAUAUUUUAUCAACCAUUCGUGAUGUACCUUCAUCUUUGUAAUGUAGGUUUAACAAACAAGCAGUUAAAUAAAUUUGAGGAAUAAGAAUAAAAUAUUUUUAAAAUUUUUCAAUCAUUUUCUUAACAGAUGCUUCAAAUCUUGGUUUAUUUUUGAAUUUAUAAAACUUAUUAGAAAUAGCACAAAUAUUAGGUAAAACAGAGCAAAUAGUUGGAUAAUAAAGUGCAGAUAUUUUUUUUGUAGUUAAAUAAAAAACUUUUAAGAAUUCUAUAAGUUCUUUUAUGUCAUUCCAAUCAUUAUCAUCAAGUCUAUAUGCCAUAUUUGAAUUAUGAGCAUUCCAAACCAUUUGUAAAGGUUUCCUAUAUUCAUAAGCAACUUCAAGCAUUUCAAAUAAAGAAUUCCAUCUAGUACACACUGAUUUUGGAAUUUUUCUAGGUGGAAGAUUAAAUUCACGACAACGAUUUUCAAAAUCUCUACGUCUAGACUUAACUUGACAUUUAAAAAUAAAAUGACAUGCAGUUUCAACUUUUGUGCAACCAUCAUCAUAUAUUGCUAUACCAUCUCUAACAAUCAAAUUAUAUAUGUGUGCAGCACACCUAAUAUGAAAACCAUCAAUAUAAAUAGGGCAAAGAGACGGUUUUAGUAUUUCAACAACAAUACUAUUAUUAGAAGCAUUAUCUAAUGUGACACUACUUAUUUUAUCACAAAUUCCAUAGUUUUGCAAAACAUCUAUAAUUGUUUAAGCUAUAUAACUACCGGUUUUAUGCAUUUCACAACAUUUAUAACCUAAAAUUCUUUUUUGCAAAGUCCAAUUUUCAUCAAUCCAAUGCGCAGUAAUUGUGAAAUAAUCAUUACCAUUUACACUACGGCCCAUAUCAGUAGUAAUAGCUAUUUUACAAUUGUUAUAAUAAAAUAAACAACGAAGAUAUUGAAAAUGUUGAGCUUGAUAAUCAAAAAUAGCCUUUUUAAUUGUAUUUCUAGUAAAACCUUUAAAAUGUGGAUUAUACACAAUUUGAAUAUAAUGAAUAAAACCGGGAUUUUCAGCAAAACUAAAUGGCAAACCCAUAACAACAAUCAUUUUAGCUAAUUCUUCAAGAUCUUUUUCUCUACUAUAUGACCGUUGUAUACUAGAACCAGAAACAUUAGAAGGAUUUAAUUGUGUUUGGACCAUAUUAGACCCCCCUACUCCUACAGUUUCAGGAAGGGUGGUACCAUUCUUUUUAGCUUCAGCUACACCUUUAGCAUGCAAAAAUUCAUUUUUACAACAUGACAUUAAAUGAUUACUCAAAUGUCCCGUCCCACCCUGUUUUCCUACAGUUUUAUGAUUCAUUAUAUGUUUACAUUUAUUACAAAUAGCUUGUGUUUUAUCUUCAUUCUGAGUCAUAAAUUGCCACACAACUGAUUUUUUAGCGCGUUCUACCUUAGUCCUAGGAUGCACGGGGGAACGGGAGCAGGACAACGAAAGGGAGCGGGAGCCGGGGAAGAGGGAGUGGGAGUGGGACUAGUAGCCGACGGUGGCUCAGUUUCAUCAUCAUCAUAUUCAUCAACAUUAUUAUCAAAACUAUCAACAUAAGCAUUAACAUCAUCAUAUUCAUCAUCUUCAGGUAAUUCCUCUUCAAAAUUACCAAAUCUUCUUUGUAAAUGUUCAUGAUAAGGAUCUAAUCCACUAUUACUAUCAAUAUUAAAAACAGUUUCAUCAACAUCUAAAUGCAAACAAAUAAAUAACUACAUGAAAAGUGAGUUGGAACGAAUGUACCAAACGUCUACUUAAAAAAGUAGACGUGUAUGACCGGAAGUCGAAAAUUGAAAGUUGAAUUUUGAAGCUCCAAUUUCCAAAGACCAAAUUCGUAAUUUUAACGAGAAUAAGAGAAUUUAGAGAGUAGAGAGUAGAGAGAUUAGAAGAUAUUUUUGUGAGUGAAAAGAAUGAAUGAUUAAGGGUAUUUAUAGUUAAAAAAAAUGAUGAAAAUGUAGUUUUAAGAAGUUUGGGGUAUUAAAAAAAGUUUGGGGGUAGGGAGGUGUAAAGGGGGGUUAUGGGGGUGAAAGAGUCGUUGGUGGGGCCCAAAACCCGUUGCCCAACGGCUAUAAUCUGAAAUUUACGAUUUAAAAAAAAAAAUUAAAAAAAAUGAACGAACCGGACCGGAACCGAACCGGAACCGGACCGGACCGGGACGGAACCGGGACUAACCGGACCGGGACGGACCGGUAAAUCCCGGUUUCCGUCCUGUUACCCCUCCCGGACCGGCACAAUACCGAUUCUAACCGGUACUAUCCGGAACCGAGAUGGAACCGGUAACGGACCGGAACCGGUACCGGGACCUCCCGGUUCCAUUGCCAGCCUUAGGCACAAACCACACCAUGUCUCCACCAUGUGCCCUGUCCAUGUACAAGGUUGUGAGUGUCUUGAAGGAGACUUUG
rnacentral:lncRNA from 1 species